rnacentral:lncRNA from 1 species
CAAAUUUUUUGACAUUAAGACAUCAAUUAAUCAAUUAGGUACCAAUUUUGAGCGUUACGAGGGUGCUAAUCCUUCCUCAUACGUAACCGACCCCGGACCUGUUUUCUUAACUUUCGUAGGCCAAAAACAAUUUUUUUAAUAAAAUAAAAUGUUUUAUUAGGUGAUCCGAUCACACCUAAACAAAAAGAAUUGGUGGCGACUCCAUACCAUAUUUUAAAGUCGAUCCCCCAUUUCUUUGAAAAUUAAAAAAAAUGGUUUCGACUGCUUGGCGAAUCCGCUGGGGACAUAAGGGAGUCAAGCUGUAAAAUUGAUUAUUUUCUAUCCUUUAGUCGAAAAUUGAAAAUUGGAUUUGAAAAAAAUCAUGAUUUUUUUGUUGCAUUUGUUUGUGAUCCUUAUGAUUGCUGUAGAUUAAGUCUCGUAGAAUACUCUUGCAUUGCAUUGCAUGACCGUUGUGGUUACACCUUUUAAGUGGGAGGGAUAAGCUAUGCCUUCGUGAGGUUUUCUCCUUCGUAUGGGCUAGUUGUAACACCCCAAACCUGGCCCAGAUGUUAUGGCUGAAUCCGACGUGUCACAUUAAAGUUUUUUAAGAAAGCCCAUGCCUCUUUCAACGUCCUUCUUAGUGUUUUAAAAGAUAGUCUUUGCUAAGUUGAUAAAGUGAAUAGAAGCUGUGCACCAGGUAGGUAUCCGUAACAGAGGAGGUGAGCCAUGAAGGCUGCUUAAGUACCAAGCUCUUGAUUGGAUCCAAUCCUAGACAUGCCCACAACCAUUGCCACACUUUGGCGCGAGGUUAGGUUUUGGAAAAAAAAGGUCGAGUUGGAAUUCAUUUAAGCAGAUAUUUUUGAUAAACCGAUUACUUGUAUUGUUGCGCUAUUUUGAAAACAAGUAUCACUUUGAAAACGCGCCCUAAGUCUAACCCAUUUUGGAUAAUUAUCAGUAAAAUAUAGAGUAUAGAAUAAAAUAAAAUAAUCCCAGGAAAAUAAUUAAAAUGGCCUUAUUACAACCCAAAACCGAAUAAUAAUAAUAAUAAUUAGGAUAAGACUUAUUAAAAAAACUAGUUACUUAUUGCAAACUUCGGAAGCGAUCACCAUGGCCACUCUGAAUCCCCUCCGGCUCCAAGUCACCACAUCAAAGCUCACCUACAAGGUUAAGGAAAGGGGUGAGUUUAGAAACUCGGUGUGCAACAAGCCCCUUUCAGAGCCCAAACUAAUAUCAGCAUACUGGGCCAAAGCCCUAAUUCAGUCUCGUCAUAUACUGGGCCGAAGCUUUUCGUUUAACAGUUACUGGGCCGAAGCCUUUUCAUAAAUCAUACCACUAGGCCGAAGCCUUUACUGUAAACAGUAUGGCCCAUAGGCCCAUUUCAAUAUCACAUGAAAUACCAAUGAAUGUAUGCAAGCUCAUUUGGGGAGACUACUCAACCCACCAUCCGCUACUCUCCACCCGUACCAACCAAGCUCUCCAUGUGGGGAAUAACUCAACCCACCCAACCAAACUCUCCACUGGCAGCAUAGCUGUUUUAUCAUUAAUUGGAGGCCUAGCCUCUUUUAAUAACUGGGGCAAAGCCCUUUUUGGUAAACUAGGGCAAAGCCCUUUUCGCACGACCUUCAUUUAUAUAAACCCCAACCCAUGCAUAUAAUGAGUAUAUCAUGGCAUAUCAUGUGCAUCUCAUGACAUAUCAUGUGCAUACCAUGUCAUAUCAUGUAUUAACAAUAUCUCAUGCUUCAUAUUCAUAAUUAAACCCUAGGGGGUAUAAUGGUCAUAUUUACCUAGGGCAAAAUAGUCAUUUUUCAUAUUAUAAGGAUAAUUUCGUAAUUUUACCAAAUAUUAUGGGUUUCCCAUGUUCAUUAACGAUUAUCAAUGUUUCUGAGUGUUUAAACAAUGAUCUUUAACCCACUUAUCAAAUUUGGGCUUUUGGGCCCAAAACCCCUAAUGAGCCCUACGAAUGUCGAUUUUAGCCCACUAAGCCCACUUAAACCAAAUUUUACAACAGUACUAACCGUGUUAACAUGAAACUUUUCCAAAUUCCAUUUUCUAUCAAUUUUACACAAAUGGCCCGAAAAGCCCAUUGGGCCCAGUUCCAGCCCAUUGAGGCCCAACUUACCAUCGUGCACAAAAUUGUUCUCUUACCUGUUCCGUCGAUCCAAAAUCGAUCAUAUCGUAUUUAUUGCAUCUAUAAACAAAUGCAAAAUCACAAGUUCCCAAAAUGCUGGAAUUUUAGCAUUUCGGCUUUUCAGCGAAUAUUAAUCUAAGCUAGUACGAGGGUUAUUACACACCUGUUUUGUGACGUUUACUAACAAGGUCUCCCAUGACAACCUAAAAUUAAUCACCACCAUUCUUAGUUUACAAUUCAUGCUUAUCAAACCCAAAAUCCACCUUACCAUAGUCGGCCAAAGAACCCCUAAUAGCCAUAGAUCACUUACCUACACAAGGUCCGAUGAUUCGAUCCAAGUUUAUCCAAACUGAUACUCCAAGCCUUGCUCCUCCUCCAAAGUUGUCUAUAUCACUACACAAACUAUAAAAAUCGAAUGAAAAGGCCCAGUGAGGCCUAUACCUCAAAUCGACAACCUCUCUAAACUAUAGGAGGUUUCAGCUUUUCUUAACAUUUACACUACUGAAUCAAUUUGGAAAACGAGUACUUGCCACAGUCUUCCCUUUUGUACUGUUUAGACCCAAAGUAUACUUAGCCCUCAACCACCUAGCAGCCUUCGAAUCCUAGAGGUCUACAAGUUCAGUUAUGCCCCUAGAACUAAGGUAUUUCGGCUUUUAGGACCAAGAAAAAGAAAAAGAAAUGGUGUGGUGGCUUUGUAUUUGUGUUGCCGUCAGGGACUUUUAGAGUUUAGCGGAUGAAGGGAUCGGUCACAACAAACGAAGAGCAAAGAAUGAUGCUGGUCUAAAUGAAAUCGGCACAACCAACUUGAAAAGUUUCGGCUCUUAUGGCUAUUCGGCAAGGGUGAUGAAAAGAAAGGGAGUAGUAGUUUGGCUUUGGCAAAAGAAGAGAAAGAAAAAUGGGUGAAAGGAGUGGUGAUUUUGGCUAGAAAAAAAAAGGAAGAAAAGAAAAAUCCCUAUGAUGUUCAAACCAAAGAAAACGGCACCACUAAAGCCCCUAAUGCCGAAAUACUAACCUAAAACCUCUAAACCGAUUUAUCCUCCCAAAAUUCCCACUAUUCGGCCAACACUAAGCCUCCAUUCAAAUCCCCAAAAUCUCUCCCAUUAUCACUCCUAAAUCCAUGCAUUUGACUGAUUCAAACUCUCUCCAACAAAGUUCCAUUCGACUUCAACCUCUUGCAUGCUCAAGACAUAAAAAUAACAACACAAUUGCCAGCUUAGUGAAUCGAACCUUGGCUUUCCCCCAACUACGUACACGCCACUUUUUUUUAGCUCCUUAGUGGCAUCACUUAACCACUUUGCCAAGGGCCCUCUUGUGUCACAUUUUACCCACAUCUUUUAAUAAGGCCACCUAUCCAAUGCCUUUAACUCCUUAAGUACAAAAUACAAAAAUUCUACCGGGUUUUGGCCAACACAUGGGCCUUCCAUAGGCCCAUUUACACACUCCAAUUAUGAAUUUCCCAACCAAAAUCCAAAUUUUAAAAAUUUUACCAAAUUCUUCAAAAUUACGAAAAUCCCGAAAAUCAGGGUGUUACGACUCUACCCUCCUUAAAGAAAUUUCGGCCUCGAAAUUUUACCUGAUCCGAACAGUUGUGGGUAUUGUUGACGCAUUGCCUCCUCUGACUCCCAUGUAGCUUAUUCUUUGCUAUGGUUUCUCCAAAGUACCUUCACCAAUGGGACUAACUUUCUUCUCAACACCUUGACGUCACGAUCAAGUAUCUGCACAGCUUCUUCUUCGAAGGUCAAAUUCGACUGUACCUCAAUUUCUGCAACUGGUACGAUAUGAGUAGGGUCAGAACGAUAUCGCGUUAGCAUGGACACAUGAAAGAUGUCAUGAAUACGAUCCAGCUCUGGAGGUAACUCUAGCUGAUAAGCCACUGGCCCUAUCCGCUUAAGGAUCUGAUAAGGCCUAAUGAAUCGUGGACUCAACUUGCCCUUCUUACCAAACCUUAAUAUCUUCUUCCAAGGCGAAACCUUCAAAAAGACCAUGUCCCCUACAGUAUACUCAAUAUCCUUACGCUUCAGAUCAACAUAAGACUUUUGUCGAUCCGUUGCCUCCUUUAACCGAUUCCUGGUCACCUUAACUUUGUCUUCAAUAUCCACUACUAACUCCGGUCCAAGUACUUGCCUUUCCCCUAACUCUGCCCAACAAGUAGGCGAACAACACCUUCGCCCACACAGUGCCUCGUAAGGAGCCAUCUGAAUACUUGCUUGGUAACUAUUUUUAUACGCGAACUCCACCAACGGCAAGUAAUCCUCCCAACUGCCCCUAAAGUCGAUAAUACAACCCCUAAACAUAUCUUCUAGAAUCUGAAUGACCCUCUCUAACUGCUCAUCCGACUGAGGGUGAAAAGCCGUACUAGAAUCUGAAUGACCCUCUCUGACUGCUCAUCCCAAUGCCUCAUGCAAAUUCUGCCAAAACCGAGAUGUAAACCUUGGGUCUCGGUCAGAAAUUAUCGAUACUAGCACCCCAUGCAACUGCACUAUCUCUGCCACAUACAACUUGGCCAACCUCUGAAGUGAGUAAUCAGUUGGAACAGGUAUGAAAUGGGCAGAUUUCAUCAGCCUAUCCACAAUCACCCAAACUGAGACCUUCUUGGAAGGUGUCAAUGGCAGACCACUCACAAAAUCCAUAGUUACCCUUUCCCAUUUACAAAGUGGUAUCUUCACUGGCUGUGACAAUCCUAAAGGUAGUUGAUGCUCGGCCUUUACUUGUUGACACGUCAAACAUUUUCCCACAAAUUCGGUCACUUCUCACUUAAGCCCAGGCCACCAGUAUAGCUCUCGCAAGUCUCGAUACAACUUACUCCCUCCUGGAUACAUAGCACAAGGUCCACCAUAAGCCUCUCUCAAAAUCAUCAAUCUCAAAUCUGAGUCCUUCGGUAUACAAAUUCUUCCUCGAAAACAAAGAACCUCAUCAACAUUUAAUCCAAAGUCUGGAUUCUCCCCCUUCUCAGCUUGUUGAAACUGAGAAACCAACGACUCAUCCACCAACUACUGCUUCUUAAUCUGAUCCACCCAAGUCGGUCUCACUUGUAAUUUUUUUAAUAAGCUUCCAUCGUCAUACAAGCUUAAACGAGCAAACAUUGCCUUCAAUUCCGCCACAGUCCUUCGACUCAACGUAUCAGCCACGACAUUUGCCUUACCUGGAUGGUACUCAAUCGAACAGUCAUAGUCCUUUAACAACUCUAUCCACCUUCGCUGUCUAAGAUUCAGCUCCUUUUGACUCAACAAGUACUUAAGACUCUUAUGAUCCGUAUAGAUAAUGCAUCUCUCCCCAUACAAGUAGUGCCUCCAUAUCUUAAGCGCAAAGAUCGCCGCUGCCAACUCCAAGUCAUGAGUAGGAUAGUUUACCUCAUGAGGCUUAAGCUGUCGUGAAGCAUAAGCGACCACUUUACCCUUUUGCAUCAACACACAGCCCAAACCUACAUGUGACGCGUCACUGUACACAGUGAAAUCCUUACCAGACUCUGGCUAAAUCAACACUGGUGCCUCAUUCAGAACCUUCUUUAACUUUUCAAAAGCCUCUUGCUACUUAUUUGUCCAAACAAACGGUGCUCCUUUCCUUAUAAGUUUCGUUAACGGCGCUGCCAACACAGAAAAUCCUUCCACAAAUCUUCGGUAAUAACCUGCCAACCCUAGAAAACUUCAGAUUUCUGUUACUGACCUCGAUGGCUAACACUCCAGAAUCGCCUCAAUCUUCCGAAGGUCUACCUUGAUCCCCUCAACAGACACAACAUGCCCCAAGAAAGUUACUUCACUCAACCAAAACUCGCACUUACUGAACUUUGCAUAGAGUUGUUUUUCCCUUAGCACUUGCAGCGCAAUACGAAGAUGCUCAUCAUGCUUCUCUUUCAUUUCCGAGUACACUAAGAUAUCAUCGAUAAAAAUGACUACGAACUAAUCCAAGUACGGCUGAAAUACCCGAUUCAUCAAAUCCAUGAAUGCUACCGGUGCAUUAGUCAAACCAAAGGGUAUAACCAGAAACUCGUAAUGACCAUAUCGAGUUCUGAAUGCCGUCUUAUGAAUAUCCUCUUCUUUGACUCUUAACUGAUGAUAUCCUGACCGAAGGUCGAUCUCAGAAAAUACUGAAACUCCUCUCAGUUGGUUGAACAGAUCAUCGAUUCUUGGCAAAGGAUACUUGUUCUUGAUCGUCAGUUUGUUCAACUGCCGAUAAUCAAUACACAUUCACAUGGUCCCAUCUUUCUUCUUUACGAACAACACUAGUGCGCCCCACGGAGAAACAUUUGGUCUUACAAACCCUCUAUCCAACAGUUCUUGAAUCUGAGCUUUCAGUUCCACCAACUCCUUUGGUGCCAUUCGGUAAGGUGCAAUGGACACUGGAGUUGUUCCAGGUAACAAGUCGAUUCUAAACUCGACUUCUCUGUUCGGAGGUAGUCCAGGAAACUCAUCAGGAAAAACAUCUUGAAAUUCCUUGAUAGUCCUGACUGACUCCAUAGUCAUCCCCUUAGGUUUAGCUUGACUCACAAAUGCUAAAAAUGCCUCACAACCUUUCCAAAUCAACUUCUCAGCCCUUAAAGCCGAGACAACAUUGGACAAAUAGUUCCUUCGUUCCCCUAUGACCAUUAUCUCCUCAUCCUCGGCAAUUCUUAGCACCAUUCUCUUAACAGCACAAUCCAAUGCCGCCCUAUGCUUAGUUAUCCAGUCCAUUCCCAAAAUAAGAUCAAAUUCCCCAAAUGGCAGCUCCAUCAAAUCUCCUACAAAUAUCCUAUCUUGUGUCUCUAAAGGCACCUCCCUAAAGAGUUUAUCUACUUUAACCGAGUGUCUCAAAGGACUUAUCACUGAUACCCCACUCACAGUCUCCUCAGGAAGCACACCCAAUGGCCCAUAUACAUUACAAGCAACAUACAAAUGAGCGGAACCAACAUCAAUCAAAGCAGUGUAAGGUGUGCUAUGAAUGAAGAAUGUACCGGUUAUAACAUCAGGAGCAUCACCUUCCUCACGACGUUGUGCAGCAUAAACCAACGCCGACUGUCAAGCUUCAGCAUGUUCAGCACCCCUUCCAGGUGCCCCACGUCCUCGUCCAUUACCAUUACCACCUCUACCUUGCCCACGACCUCUCUGUGGUGGGGGUCUUCCUCACAGCGGUUGGACACCUCUUUGCUCCGCAACUUGUUCCUGAGCUACUUUCCGAAGACACUCUCUAAACUUAUGUUCCUUUGACCCACAUCGAUAACAUGCUCCAGUUCGUUUCCAGCACUCCCCCAUAUGUACUCUGCCACAGUCCCUGCAAGUCUGCGGUCUAAAGGUAUUCACCGAAACUGCUCGAGCCAGUUCCUCCAUUAUAGCUCUUUUAGCAUUUCUAUAUGCAGCACCCGAGGGUCCAGAAUCCCUCCUGAAUCUAGGUCGAUCCCUCUCACGAUUCUGCCAUUCAGUUUAUUUUACUUCCUCAGCUAUCUUUGCCUUCUCUACCAACGCAGCGAAAUCACGCUCCCUCUGUGGAGCUAUCAGCACCCUAAGCUCAUCACGGAGGCCAUCUUCAAAUCAAACACUGUGCUCAUAUUCGGUCGCAACUAUCCCGCUAGCAUAUCAACUCAACCUCAAGAAUUCCACCUCAUACUCCACAACAGUUUUAUUACCCUAGCCAGAUUCAAAAAUUCCUUUCGACGAGCAUCUACAUAACUAGCUCCAACACACCGCCCCUUAAAAGUAGUCUUAAACAGUUCCCAGGUUACUCGUUCAAUCGGGGUACUCUCCUUUACAGUGAUCCACCACUGGUAUGCCUCAUCUCGUAGCAACGACACGGCCCCCUUCAGCUUUUGCUCCACAGAGCAAUCUAGGUUGUCCAUAAUCCGCUCUGUUGCCUCUAGCCAAUAUUCAGCGACGUUUGGGGCUACUUCAGAUACGCCUCUAAAAACCUCUGCUCCGUUAGUCUGGAGUCACUCAGAGAUGGAUCCCCUAUUCACUGUCCCGGUGCUAGCUCCAGGAACCCUUUCCAAAACCCUUAACAUCGCUUGGGACAAAGUAUCAUCCCCCGCAGCUCGAUCAUGUGACCCAGUCUCAGUUGCCUGUGGCACGGAUGCCUCCUCAGCUGACCUAUGCCCUGAGAAAGAAGAUUCAGCUUGCACCCUUCUGUGACCACGUCCGCGGCCUCGUCCACGAGUCCCUCUUGUACUUAUAUCAAAUUUUCUGAUUACGAAUUUUAUGACAUUAAUUUAAUAUUUCAGUUGUUUAUUACGAGCUGUCUUAUGGAAAUACAGCAGUUCAGAGAUUGUUUUCACAACGUAGUAGCCUAGCUACAGUCUCAAUCCUACUGUUUUAUAGCUCUACCCUGUCUAAAGUAUCAUAGUAGGGUCUCAUUUCUAUCUAUAGCAUCAUAUCAAUAUCAUACGGUGUAAAAGAAAGUAUAUUUACAGACUUGGUGUCGGGGAUUCAGUGUGCCACUUCUUUCUCCAAACCAUUUAAAACUUAAAAACAUGUAUUUGGUCACAAAAAAAAGGGUUUCUUUCUAGAAAUUCUUAAAAAUUGAUUUAAAAUACCUUUGUUUUGAAAUACUUGAUUUUUAAACCCGUUUAAAAUCCACAGCCGAGUUGUUGCAACCUGACUCUGAUACCACUAAAUGUAAUACCCCAAACCCGGCCCAGAUGUUAUGGCCAGAUCUGACGUGUCACAUUAAAGUUUUUUAAGAAAGCCCAUGCGUCUUUCAACAUCCUUCUUAGAGUUUUAAAAGAUAGUCUUUGAUAAAUUGAUAAAGUGAAUGGAAGCUGUGCACCAGGUAGGUAUCCGUAACAGAGGAGGUGAGCCAUGAAGGCUGCUUAAGUACCAAGCUCUUGAUUGGAUCCAAUCCUAGACAUGCCCACAACCAUUUCCACACUUUGGCGCGAGGUUAGGUUUUGGAAAAAAAGGUCGAGUUGGAAUUCAUUUAAGCAGAUAUUUUUGAUAAACCGAUUACUUGUAUCAUUGCGCUAUUUUGAAAACAAGUAUCACUUUGAAAACGCGCCCUAAGUCUAACCUAUUUUGGAUAAUUAUCAGUAAAAUACAGAGUAUAUAAUAAAAUAAAAUAAUCCCAAAAAAAUAAUUAAAACGGCCUUAUUGCAACCCAAAACCGAAUAAUAAUAAUAAUUAGGAUAAGACUUAUUAAAAAAACUAGUUACUUAUUGCAAAGUUCGGAAGCGAUCACCACGGCCACUCUGAAUCCCCUCCGGCUCCAAGUCUCCACAUCAAGGCUCACCUACAAGGUUAAGGAAAGGGGUGAAUUUGGAAACUCAGUGUGCAACAACCCCUUUCAGAGCCCAAACUAAUAUCAGCAUACUGGGCCAAAGCCCUAAUUCAGUCUCGUCAUAUACUGGGCCGAAGCCUUUCGUUUAACGGUUACUGGGCUGAAGCCUUUUCAUAAAUCAUACCACUGGGUCGAAGCCUUUACUGUAAACAGUAUGGCCCAUAGGCUUAUUUCAAUAUCACAUGAAAUACCAAUGAAUGUAUGCAAGCCCAUUUGGGGAGACUACUCAACCAACCAUCUGCUACUUUCCACCCGUACCAACCAAGCUCUCCAUGUGGGGAAUAACUCAACCCACCCAACCAAACUCUCCACUGGCAGCAUAGCUGCUUUAUCAUUAACUGAAGGCCUAGCCUCUUUUAAUAACUGGGGCAAAGCCCUUUUUGGUAAACUGGGGAAAAGCCCUUUUCGCACUACCUCCAUUUAUAUAAAGCCCAACCCAUGCAUAUAAUGAGUAUAUCAUGGCAUAUCAUGUGCAUCUCAUGACAUAUCAUGUGCAUACCAUGUCAAAUCAUGUAUAACAAUAUCUCAUGCUUCAUAUUCAUAAUUAAACCCUAAGGGGUAUAAUAGUCAUUUUUACCUAGGGCAAAAUAGUCAUUUUUCAUAUUAUAAGGAUAAUUUCGUAAUUUUACCAAAUAUUAUGGGUUUCCCAUGUUCAUUAACGAUUAUCAAUAUUUCUAAGUGUUUAAAUAAUGAUCUUUAACCCACUUAUCAAAUUCAGGCUUUUGGGCCCAAAACCCUUAAUGGGCCCUACGAAUGCCGAUUUUAGCCCAUUAAGUCCACUUAACCCAAAUUUUACAAUAGUACUAACCGUGUUAACAUGAAACUUUUCCAAAUUCCAUUUUCUAUCAAUUUUACACAAAUGGCCCAAAAGCCCAUUGGGCCUAGUUCCAGCCCAUCGAUGCCCAACUUGCCAUCGUGUACAAAAUUGUUCUCUUACCUGUUCCAUCGAUCCAAACACCGAUCAUAUCGUAUUUAUCGCAUCUAUAACCAAAUACAAAAUCACAAGUUCCUGAAAUGCCGAAAUUUUAGCAUUUCGACUUUUCAGCGAAUAUUAUUCUAAGCUACUACGAGGGUUAUUACACACCUGUUUUGUGACGUUUGCUAACAAGGUCUCCCACGACAACCUACAAUUAAUCAUCACCAUUCUUAGUUUACAAUUCAUACUUAUCAAACCCAAAAUCCACCUUACCAUAGUCGGCUAAAGAACCCCUAAUAGCCAUAGAUCACUUACCUACACAGGGUCCGAUGAUUCGAUCCAAGUUUAUCCAAACCGAUACUCCAAGCCUUGCUGCUCCUCCAAAGUUGUGUAUUUCACUACACAAACCAUAAAAAUCAAAUGAAAGGGCCCAGUAAGGCCUAUACCUCAAAUCGACAACCUCUUUAAACUAUAGGAGGUUUCAACUUUUCUUAACAUUUACACUACUUAAUCGAUUUGGAAAAUGAGUACUUACCACAGUCUUCCCUUCUGCACUGUUUAGAAUCAAAGUAAACUUAGCCCUCAACCACCUAGCAGCCUUCGAACCCUAGAGGUCUACAGGUUAAGCUAUGCCCCUAGAACUAAGGUAUUUUGGCUUUUAAGACCAAGCAAAAGGAAAAGAAAUGGUGUGGUGGCUUUGUAUUGGUGUUGCCGUUGGAGACUUUUAGAGUUUAGUGGAUGAAGGGGUCGGUCACAACAAACGAAGAGCAAAGAAUGAUGCUGGUCUAAAUGAAAUUGGUACAACCAACUUCAAAAGUUUCGGCUCUUGUGGCUAUUUGGCAAGGGUGAUGAAAAGAAAGGGAGUAGUAGUUUGGCUUUGGCAAAAGAAGAGAAAGAAAAAUGGGUGAAAGGAGUGGUGAUUUCGACUAGAGAAAAAAAAGAAAGAAAAGAAAAAGCCCUAUGAUGUUCAAACCAAAGAAAACGACACCACUAAAGCCCCUAAUGCCGAAAUACUAACCUAAAACCCAUAAACCUAUUUCUCCUCCCUAAAUUCCCACUAUUCGGCCAACACUAAGCCUCCAUUCAAAUCCCUAAAAUCUCUCCCCUUAUCACUUCUAAUUCCAUGCAUUUGACUGAUUCAAACUCUCUCCAACAGAGUUCCAUUCGACUUCAACCUCUUGCAUGCUCAAGACAUAAAAAUAACAACACAAUUGCCAGCUUAGUGAAUCGAACCUUGGCUUUCCCCCAACCACGUACACGCCACUUUUUUUUAGCUCCUUAGUGGCGUCAAUUACCUACUUUGCCAGGGGCUCUCUUGUGUCACAUUUUACCCACAUCUUUUAAUAAGGCCACCUAUCCAAUGCCCCUAAAUCUUUAAGUCCAAAAUUCAAAAAUUCUACCAGGUUUUAGCCAACACAUGGGCCUUCCAUAGGGCCAUUUACACACUCCAAUUAUGAAUUUCCCAACCAAAAACCAAAUUUUAAAAAUUUUACCAAAUUCUCAAAAAUUACGAAAAUCUCAAAAACCAGGGUGUUACACUAGUGGAUUGCUUUCGGGAUACAUUCGUACCUAUGUCUUCGUGAGAUUUUCAUCUCCAUAUGGCCAUAGGGAAAUGCAUUCCCCUGAAUCAAACCCGAUUCUUAUUAGCCUAUAAUGGGUGAGGAUUAAGGAAUCUAUUGGUUCAAGUACCCUUUCCUUAGAAUCGAACCACAUAUAGAAAGACAGGAGCCUACCCUAGGUAGAGCCACGCCAAAUCUUAGGUCACCGAGUUAGGUGUUCUAUAUUGUUUUUUCUCUUUUCUGUACUAACGUGUUUUGUUUUGUCUAUGAUUGCAUUGCAUUACAACAUCAUAGAAAGAAUGUGUUGAUUCAUAUUCGAUUGCUAAAUAAAAGAGCUUGUCAUGGAAAUGGAUUUCUUGAUAAAGUCGAUUAUAAUACGGUUGUCUGAAUAUGGUCUAAGUAAACACAAUGAAAAAAGGCUAAUAGUUCGUGGAAGAAAACAAGACUUUGUUUUAUCACCGUAGAUUCAAGUCGAUAAAGAUUAUUCGAGAGCCAUCACAUCUUGACUUUUUUAAAGGAGCUAACAAGCAUCGUGAGGAUAAGUGAGUAAUAAGUCACAGCCUGGAUCAAGCAAAAAGGAAAAUGAGGACAUCUUUUGGAAAAUUCGUAAGAUUCAACCAUAACAUCCGGAUAUAAAGAGAAGAGCGUGUCUUCGCCUGGACUAUAAGGGCAAUGCCAUAUAUGUAAUCCAUUUUAUGUAAAGAGAUUUAUUUUCUAGAAAAGUUGUUCUAAUGGAAUUGAAUUUAGAAUCAACGUAUCUCUUUUUUUGCAUUCAUUCCAUGCAUCUGCAUUGCAUUGCAUCAUUUUCAUUAAACUUUCACAAAAGGACCUUAAUUAGGUAAAAUAAUUUCAGUUAACCUGGGAACCGAAAAAAGUCAAGCGACUAAGCAUCUUUACGGUACAUGGAAAAGGACCAAAUAUAUGGAUCAAAGGUUUGAAAGACUCGAACAACUUCAAAAAGAAAUGCAAGACAAGUUACAAAUGCAAAUGCAAGAGCAGCUUGCUAAGGUCCAACAAGACAUGAUAGACGAAAUGCUGGCGUCCCAAAGGAAUAUGAUGAAUUAGUUGUCCCAAUUGUUGACUAAGGGGCUAGAAAAGGGAAAAAGCUUCAUGAUUAAUACUGGGAAGGACAAUGAGGAGCCUCUCUACCCUUCAGGUUUCACCCCGACAAAUGCUCAGACAUGUCUGCAGGGUUUACCUAUUGCUGUCAGAUCUCAGCAAUAUCAGGCCAAUAUCUCGGCACUAGUGAAUUACCCAAUAGGCUCAAGCUUCAAUCCAGGGGGCAAUCCAACCACUCCCCUAGUUCCUGACCUAGAUGACAUGAAAAAAGCAAAGAUAGAACUGCCAAAACAACUCGAGGAUCGGUAUAGGUGGUUGGAGGAAAAAGUUAAGGCAAUGGAGAAUGUUGACUACUAUUGUGGGGUUGGCACCAAGGAUCUGAUUUUAGUCCCCGAUCUAGUAUUCCCGCCAAAAUUUAAGACUUUAGAGUUUGAAAAGUACAAUGGGACUAAUUAUCCUGAAGCUCACAUCAAAAUGUUCUGUCGAAGAAUGACAGGAUAUGUCAAUAACGACCAACUAUUAAUCCAUUGCUUCCAAGGCAGUCUAAUCGUGUCAGCAGCUAAAUGGUACAAUCAAUUGAGUCGUGCUAAAAUCAGUUCAUGGAAGGACUUAGCACAAGUUUUUAUGAAGCAGUAUAGCCAUGUAACGGACAUGGUACCCGACAGAAUUACCCUACAGAAUAUGGAAAAUAAGCAAAAUAAGAGCUUCAAGUAGUAUGCCUAAAGAUGGAGAGGGGUAGCAACACAGGUCCAGCCGUCUCUUCUGGAAAAGGAGACCACGAUGCUUUUCAUCAAUACUCUGAAGGCCCCGUUCAUUAACCAUAUGUUGGGAAGCGCUACUCUAAGCUUUUCAGAUAUAGUAAUGUCAGGUGAGAUGAUUGAAAAUGCGGUAAGAAGUGGGAGGAUAGAUGUUGGAGAAAACACUAAAAGGUUAACCCUGAGAAACAAAGAAAAUAAAGUUAGUAUCGUGAGCAUGCCUUCCAAAUUGGUUAACAUAGGCCAGUCGAGGGCUGUACUAGCUAUCAAGGCUCUUCAAGGCAGGAAUCCAACUCGAGGCCAAGUACAGAAAGGCUCCGGUUUACACCCAUCCCGAUGUCAUAUAAGAAGUUGUAUCAGAAUAUUUUUUAUGUGCAUAUGGUGUCUCUGUUCUAUUCAGAACCCGUGCAAUCUUUAUUCCCAAAAUGGUAUAAUGAGAAUGCUCAAUGCGAGUACCAUGCGGGAAUAAAGGGACACUCAAUCAAAAACUGCACUACAUUUAAAAAGUUGGUCGAAAGGUUCAUUGAAAUGGGAAUUGUGGAGUUUGACGAUUCCUUAGAACCUAAUUGUUCUGACAAUGCAGUAAAUGAAAUAUUUGAAGGUGGGGGCAAAAGAGUUGCGAUGCCUUGAACAAGUCAAAAACCUGGAGGGAACCAAAGAAUAAAAGUUUCCAAACCCUUGCAUACUUGGGAGUGUUUUGAACGAUGGGACUAUGGAAGAGAUUCUUGUAUUUUUUUAGAGCUAAUCUAGAGUAAUAUUCAAAGCAUGCUUGUUGCUUUAAGCCUAGAGGCAAUAAGAAUCCUUUUGUGAAAUAGGCUUGUCUCCAGAAUUUUUAUUUCAAUAAAAUGCAUCUUCUUGAGAAAAUGUUCUUUCUUUCUUUCCAUUUCAUAGUAUACAUUCUUUUGUUCUUUCGUAGGCCAAAAAUAAUUUUUUUAAUAAAAUAAAAUGUUUUAUUAGGUGAUCUGAUCACACCUAAACAAAAAGGAUUGGUGGCGACUCCAUACCAUAUUUUGAAGUCGAUCCCAAUUUUUUUCAAAAUUAAAAAAAAAAUGGUUUUGACACUAAGUAUAAUUAAAUUGAUAAUAAUACGAUGUUCUGGAUGUUGGGAAGAAAAAUAGUUCCAUUUGAACCUUGAGAAUACUUAUGAUACAAAUGACAUGUCAUUAGGGAUUAUACGGUUUUGGGUGCUGGUCUUGGAUGUCCUACUGAUGGCUGAGGUCCUACAUUUGUUGCGGAUUCUCCACAGCUUGUGUAAGCAACAUCCUGAAGUCAACAUCCCAACUCAUUUCCAAGCUCGUGUGAGCAAUAUUAAAAAGGUUACAAUUACAUGAAAAGUCACACUUUGUGCGGGUAUUUCCCGAGUAUCCAGUGUUGUUGAAUAUGGUUCAUCGGCCAAUUUAGGUGAAAUGGAAAGGUACGUAUAUGAAAUAAGCUAUAAUGUUGAGUAUAUGAAAUGAGCUAUGAUGUUGAAUAUAUAAAUGGAUAGUAUGAUAUGUGCAAUUAUAUUGUAAAGGGAAUCAAAUGAAUAUGUGGUAGAUGAUUUGUAUAUUGAGAUUAUUUCAUGAAAUGUUCCAUGAAUUGGGUGAAACUAUAUGCUCAUUAUAUACCCACUAACCUUGUAGAGUUGUGUGUAUAAGAUGGAAUGUAUGCACUUGUAUAAUGAUUGAAUGGUUAAAAAUAACAUAUGUGGUAAGUUUAAGUUCACAUUAUACGAACUUACUAAGUAGUAGUUGCUUAUGUAGUUAUUUUCUCUAUUUUGUAGAUCAUCGGAAGCUUGAUAAGUUGGAAUCUUGUCGGAUCUCUAUCACAUUAUCCUUCAACCACUUUGAUAGUUUUGGUUGUUUUGGCUAUGGUUAUAAAUGGCAUGUAUAGAGCUUAUAUGUAAUAGAAGUUUUGAUUUAUGCUAUUUGUCCAAUGUGAUAUGCUUAUGUGUUGUAUAUAUGUUUUGUUUUGACUUGUAAAUGCAUAGGCAUGUUUAUGUCUUUUGGUCACUUUUAAAUGUAUUGUAAAUAUAUGGCUUAUGACUUAUUCAUAUAUGGUUGAAGCCAUUCAAUAAUGUGUGAAUAUGGUGAUGUAUGUUUAGGUUAUAAUGUAGCUUUCAAUAAAUUGAAUUGAUGUGUGAUUUGAGUGCCUUUUGAUGGCAUAUUGGUUUGUUAUAGGAUGAGUGAAUAUCUAACAUGUUUUUGAUGUUUUGUAUGUUUUAAACAUGUGAAUGUUGGUAGAAUUGGUCUAUCUUGCUAUGUAAGAAUUGGUUUUAACAUGGCUUGCUUUAAGGGCAAUUUAUGUUGCACACGGCCUGGGGCACAGGUUAUCACACAGCUAUGUGUGCCCCACAUGGUCGUGUGUCAUUAUUGUUUUUAGGUGCAUGUUUCACACGAUUUAAGACACGGCAUGCGACAUGAUCGUGUGUCUCAAGUUAGUAUGUAACACUAUUUGGCACACGAACUACGACAUAACCGUAUGGGCCUAUUUCGAAUACCCACAUGGGUGGACACACAGGCUGGGACAUGGCCGUGUGUCCAAAUUUCAAAUGUCCACAUGAUCUUGGCUAUGUCACACUGGCCACACGACCAUGUGACCCUUAUUUUCCCAAAAUUUUCUAUUUUGUUUUAAAUUGAUCCCUGAUUGUUUCCAAGUUGUUUUAAGGCCCCGAAGACUCGGUUUAAUGCCCAAUAAUGUAUUUUACUAUGGUUAUAUUGAGCUAUUGGAUGUUGGUAUUAAUUUGCAUUUUUUUUGUUUUGAAGUUAAACAUCCUAUUUUGUAUGGUAAUGCUUCGUAACCCUAGUUCGGUGACAGAUACGGGUUAUGGGUGUUACAAUUCGGCAGCAAAAGAAGUCUUGAAAUAGGUUAUUCCUUAAAAUCAUGAUAAUUGGUUUUUUCACUUCCAAACAUCUCAGAUUGGUUAAUUUCUAAUCUACAAUCUUCUGAGCUAUUUGAUUCCUUAGAAGUUAGCUGGGUAAGCCUAUUUGGUCUUAUAGCGUGGAGGAUUUGGAAGAAUAGAAACCUUUAUGUUCUCCAAGGACUAACGUGGGAAGUGGCUAAUAUUAUUAAAGUUUAUAUCACAUGGGCAAAAUAAUUUUAGAUUACACAUAAUAAAAUUAUGAAUCGAAGACGUACUACUACUCCAAGGAACUCUCUUCCGGAUAAUCAUAUUUAUUUGCAUACAAAUUAAGCUAUUAAUUUGAGUACAGGUUAUGCAUUUGCAGAUACGGAAUCAUCAAGGGAAUUGGAUUUUGGACUUUAACCAAUCUCUGGAGAUGUGUUCGGGUUUUGAUGCUAAGCUAUAAGAUAUUUUCGAUGGGUUUAUUCUUCUACAAGAUCGAGGUUUGAAUAGAAUAUUGAUUCACACUGAUAGCCUUGAGGUUUUUCAUGCAUUGUAAAAGAGUAUUACAACUAGUUCGGGCUCAGCAAUGAUUAGGUGGAUCCAACAUAAGCUACAAAGUUUUGACUGUUGAGAGAUCAGGUGUAACACCUCAAACCCGGCUUAGACAUUGUGGCCAAACUUGAGAGUGUAAUGAAGAAGGGUUUUGAAACCAAUGAUAUUUCGAUAAAACAUCCAAGUUUAAAACAUAUUCAUUUAUAUAAUUAUUAUUGAAACAGUUAUAUGUUAUCCUUUCAGGUUAACCAAAUCAUUUAGCAACGAAAGUUUGAAAAAUCAUUUAAAACAAAACCAUGCUCGUAUUUUUAAAAUUUAACAUUUGUUCACGUGAAAUCUGUGUUUUGUUGAGUCAUCGCAGUUUUAGAAAUCAUAACGCAACUAAACCAAAAUUUUAAACCAAACAGUCCAAAAAGUCGGAAGAGUCCAAAAAUUACAAAACUCUCAUGAAAGCCAGAAAUUUUAGUAAAAACCAUUAAAUAAUAAUGAAAAUAGUUCCCCGUCAAGUGGGUCACCACUAAGCCUCCAUCGUACCAACCUGCCAAUGUCUGUGGAUUACCUAAACAGAACAGACAAAACGAUGUGAGUUUACGAAAACUCAGCAUAACCCAAUAGAAAUAGUCAUGCAACAUACACAAUAUUCCAUAUAUAGUUAGAUACAGAUUCGGAUCUAAGUCCAUAAUAGAUACAGAUAUCAGAAUCAGAUAAAUAGAACAGAUAUACAGAAUCCUACCCCCAUCCUCUAAACACCAGCUCCCGACCAUCCCAUCACACAAUGUGGGGUUAAAAAUACCUACCCAUCCCUACACACCAUAUAGUGUCGAUGCGACACAUCACAGAUAAUAUACAAUCAAGUUGUCAGGUUAUAGGCGAAAGGUCGUCGUACAGAUCACUUCCUCCACAUAUACAAUUCCCAACCCAAACAUAGAUACAAAAUACAAAAUUAACAGAAUUAACAUGCUUGUAUACAAAUAACAUAUAUAUAUACUCAAACAGAAUAGUCAUACAAACAUAUCAGUGUUCUGCUCAAAUCAGACUAUUAGAACAUCAGAUCUCAUGUAUUAGGGUUUAGUUAGCCCUUACCAACCCUACGGUAGGCCCACAGUCGAUGGGAAUGACCCGUACAACCCUAGGGAAAAUUUCAAAAUUCUGGGCCUACAUGCCCGUAUGGCCUGCCUGUGUGGGGCCACACGCCCGUGUUGCCCACAUGCCAAUCUGGCUUAGUUACAUGCUCGUGUCCUGCGCACAGCCACGCCUUCGUCAGACACACGAUCGUGUCUCGCACACGGCCAACCAUAUGGUCGGCCAAACGCCCGUGUGGUGUCAACAGAUUGCAUUUUUGGCUUCGUUGAAGUUCAAUUUUUUAUGUUAAGAGUACACAUCUGGUAUGGUUUUGACGCUACAGCACACCCGAGCCCACCAGAACCUAAAGAUAGCAUUUCAACGACCUAUUAGCAACCAAUUUAUGAUUUCACAAAACUAAACUGAGAAAUGCUCAUAAACUUACCAUCAUAAAAUCGACCACACGCAAUAAACUAAAUUGUUGGAGCGAAAAUCACUGCUUCACCACCUUCUCCUACACAAUAAUCCGUAGAAAUCAGAUUCUCUACAAUCAAUGUUAAGCUAUUACAACGAAAAAGAAUUGAAAAGCUUACCAAAACCGCACGAAGAACAGAAAAGUGAACAAUUAUUGAAGGGAAUGGAAGAAAAAUAAACAAGGAAACAGUGGAGGAACAAAAAGAUGAAAUGAUAGAAAAAUGAAGAGGUAGAAACUGACGUCAAAUUUUGGGAAGAGAGAGAAAAAUUAUAAAAAUAAACUAAAAUAAUAAUAAUAAAUUAAUAUCAUAACUCCCCAUAACAACUACAUCCAACUACUUCAGACUCCCAACUCCACCGAGCCUCUAACAGCCAACCGAAACAAAAAUUAUCACCUACACUCAUGUAGGGAUUCGAAUACAAGACCUCCAACGCACUAACUCCUUACCACUCAAACUAGCAAGCUCAUUCUAAUAUAAUUUUACAAACAAUUUUAUAUAAGCCCACCCACCACGGAUAAUGCUUGAAUAAAAAAUAACAAAAUUUUCGAAAAUGGGACUUAAACCCAAGACCUCAUACACACCCUUAGAACACUUAACUAUUAAAGCAAAUACACAUUUAUAUUAGAUUUCACAAAAAACAGGCUUAAAUUAUUCAAGACGUUACAUCAGGCAUGUUCCAAGGGAAGCCAAUUUAGUCGCAGGUCGGAUUGCCAAGGUUGUGCCUGUGGAGAUAAAGGGAGUUAACAUUUUGGUAUCUGCUCCUACAGAUCUUUUAGUGUUUCUUGGAAGUGACAAAGUUAAUGCUACUUUUGAUUGUUUCAGUGUAGUAUAAUCAUUUAAGUUUUGUUUCUUAUCACAAAAAGAAAAAAAAAGAGUUAAUUGCACCAUACUUUUGCAAAGACUCUGAUUUAAAUUGGUCCUUAAACUUUAAAAUAUUUUAAUUAUAUCUUAAAGUAUCAAUGCUAUAUUAAUUAGGUCUUUUUGUUAUUAAAGUCGUUAAAUGACAUGAAAAUCUUCUAUAGCUAAAUUAAUAAUAAAAAUUUUAAAGAAAUAAAAUGUUGUCACAUAAUUUCUAAAAGAAAAUAAAAAUAAAUUAAAACUAAAAAAACUGAACACUAAAACUUCUACAAAAGCUUCAAAAAUAUCAAAACUAAGAUUUUUAAAAUAUCUAUUUUUACAAUGUUCAUUUAAAAUUUUCAUUUUAAAUCAUGACACAUAAGAUACGAUGUUAAAUUAAUAAUUUUAGUAACGAAAGGAUAUAAUUGAUAUAACCUCGAUAAUUUAAAAAUGUAAUUAAAAUAAUUUAAAGAUUAAAGACUAAUUUAAAAUGAAGGUGUAUAGUUUAAGAAUGUUGGAUGUAAUUAAAAUGAAUACUUUUUAAAUUAAUAUGGAGAAGUUAAUUUAGUGGUAACUGGAAAAAAAAAGCUGCAUGAGAGCUAAUAAGUAAGUUUUCUUUUUUAUUUUAAAUGCGUUUAGUGAAUUGGUGUUAUUUAAUUUAUAUUAUCAGUUUAAUUAAGAAUUUUAUAAAUAAUAUAGACAUGUGUAUCAAUUACUAAAAUUUUUAUUUUUCAUUGUAUGAUAUUUUUAAAGAAAAAAGUGUUUUCUUAAAUGAUGUUGUAACAUAAGAAUAAGAAGAAAUUAUUGAUGUUAAAAUUUGAGCCUUAUGAUCUAUUAAAAUAAAAUUUGGAUCUAACCCAAAACAGUAAUUUUUUUUUUUCAAAUAUGAUAAGCGGAUUAGAUUAGAACUUGCUUGAUGUCAGUAAAUUACUUUUCAAAAUAGUCACGAACUUUAAGUCAAAAUAUGACCACUUAUAAAAUAUAUGUUCCCAUCAUCAUAAUAUGUUUGAUUUUGCCUUUUACCUGGCUAAUUGGAAUAUAUACAUAUAUAUAUCUAUAUAUAUAUGCUAAUUGUCACUAUCUUUUCAAGCAUAUAUUCAGCUGGCCGAUCAAUUAUAGAGGAAUAUAUGUUUUGUUAGCAUCCUCGCUAUUUCAGAAUUAUGUAUUAAAGUGAGAUUUAAUAACUACGAGAUUUAUGAUACACUUUCUACUCAGAAUGUAAAUGAAAAAGAAAAUUAUUUAAUAAAUAUAUUUAUUAAAAAUUCACAUAAAAAUCAGCUGAUAUUUUGAUUAUAAUUGUGAAAUUAAUUGUUUACUAUGCAUGAAUUUAGAGCUGUCUAAGAGUUGGGUUAUCCGUCCGAAUCCAAAGACUUGAUCAAAAUAUGGGAGAAUUUGGACAAGUAAAUAAAAUCCCAAAAAUGUGCUUGGGAAAAUUUAUAGGCUUAUUUUCUACUCAAAUCGGGUUUCAAGUAGAGUUUUUAAAUCGAACUUGGCUCAACUCGAAUACAUAUAUUGAUUCUAUUCCUUUGCCGGGUAUGGAAGAUUUGAAGGUGCACGAUUACCUAGUAAGACUGGGGAUGUCUGUGAUAAUUUGAUGGCAGACACAUUUGUAUGAUCCCGAUAAUUGUGCAGAAAGGUCCGGAUAAAAUGAUUUGGCAUCGGUCUAGUAAGGAUUAUAUUUGGUGAAAUCAGAAUACAAGUUAGCCUCUGAUUUGUAUUCCAAUUCUGUUUGGAAUGAAAGUGAUGGUCCUUGAUUGAAGAUUUGGAAUGGCCAUUUCCCACCGAAGGUCAAGGAUUUUACUUAGAGGUGUCUCAGAAACUUUAUUCCUACCAAGGCAAGGUUAAUUGAUAAAGGUUUAAAUGUGCCUUCGAUUUGUAUCCGAUGUGGAGAGGUGGAAAUGCUUGAUCAUGUUUUUAUUUCUUGUGCGUUCACUCGGGUGUUCUGGCAAUAUUCCGGACUUCCAUAUCCGCAUCUUGAUGUUCUCCAUUUUAUUCGCACUUUGCUUGAGUCAGUUGAUGUUAAUAUAGUUUACCAGGCUCUUACUAUUUUGUGAAGCAUUUGGUUCCAUCGUAACUUGUGAUUUUGGAAGGGUGAGGUGUUUUCCUCGUAGUGUGUUGUCGAUUUUGCUGACAAUUUUCAUUGGCAAAGGUUGGAGGCUCAGUCUGUUUUGGUAUAACUCUACCAUUAGAGCAUCCGACUACCUCCACGGCUCAUUGGUGGAAGCGACCUGCUGUUGGUAUCUUAAAAUGCAAUGUUGAUGGAGCUUUAUUUCAAGAUGAGCAUUAUUCCAGCUUUGCGGCAAUCGUUCGGGAUCAAACUAGUGCUGUUAUUAAAGGUUUGGUUGUUGGGACCCCGCAUUAUUGAUAUUUUUGCUAUUCGAGAAGCAUUAUCUUGGCUUUGCGCUAAUAGAUUUUAUCAUGUUGUGAUCGAGUUAAACUACCAGCCAAAAGUUGAUGUAUCUAAAUUUGGUAUCCUUGUUCAGGAUUAUAUUUAUCUCAGUUUGUUCUUCUUUGAUUUCUCUUGUCUUUAUCUAUCAUAAGUUCGCUAGGGGUUUUAUCUUAUUCAUCUUUUCAUGAUUUCACUGUUCGAUCGGUUUAAUGUUAUCUUUCUUAUUCUUAGUAGUAAUAUUAUUUCAAACACUCAUUUGGAUGAGACGCAUAGGUCUGAGUGUAUGAGGUAAACCUAUUAGCUUGGGUCUUUAGUUGUCUCACUCAUGUGCUGUUCUUGUUUUCCUUCUCUAUUUUAAUAUAGCAAUUUUUUCUUCUAAACAAAUUAUAUAAAACCAACCUAAAUCCAAAUAUUAUUUAUUUCAAAAUCUAAACCCAUCCUUAAAAAUAAAUAAAUAAAUAAACCAAACUUCUGUUGACAAAGCGUUAAAUAAGUCAAUGAAUUGAAAAUCAAUACUUUCAGCAGCUUUAUUUUUUAAAAAUAUUUAAUAACUCACAACGAAAUUAAUUAGGUAGAAUAUUUUUCCAUAAAAAAGUGUGGAAAAUGAUAAAUAGAUAAGGACUUACUUAUAACUUAAUAGAAAAUUAAUUUAAUUGUUUUCUUUAUUCUAUUUCAUUUAAGAUUAUAUUAUCCUUUAUCAAACAAUUUAAUUAUAAUCGGUUUUUAAUUUUAAGUAAUACACCAAACAAAUUUUAUAAAUUAAAUUUAACAUUCAAUUUUUCAAUACUUAUUUUUACAACAAUUAAAUUGAAUACUUAUUUUACAACAAUUAAUUUUUCGUUAAGUUCCAAUAGUAGUACAUCAACUCUCAACCGAAUAAGACAAAUUAUGGAAUAAUGCUUUACUAAAAAGAAAAUCGUUGAUUGGACUUACUCUAGCAACAGUUCCACUGGCAACAAAAGGAGCUUCAAAUUUCAUCCUACACUUGGCUUGUAUUCAUCUCAUUGCAAGUUUACUGCUAUUCAAAAUUUAUGCAUUGUUUUUCUAAUUUGGAAAUGUCAAAAUCAUAUGCAAUUUUAGUUGAACUUUUAUGAAUUGUUUUUUUUUAAAAAAACAAAAAACUGGAAUGGCAGUAUCUUUAAAUAAUCAUUUUUCUAUAUUUAUUUAUGAAUUAUCAAAAAUAAAUAUUUGUAAUUACAUUACAAUUUGAAAAAAAUUCUAAUUUUAAUUUGGUCAGGCUUGGACAAAAUUUUAAGUCCAUAUUUUAGAUUAGCUUAGAUUUGAGCAAAGAUAAUAUCUAAAAACCCUCUUGUCUAGGUUUGGACCAACCGGGCUCAACCAGCCUAUUAACACCUCUAUACAUGAUGUUUUGGGUUCAAAUAUUAUUAUAAUCAAAUUUUUAUUGAUUUAUUAUAUGUAAAAGAGAUAAAAAAUUCUUAUAAAAAUAUUAAAAAAUAUAUUCUUAUAAAAAUAUAAUCUAAUUCGUCUAUAAGAAAAUAUUUUAAUAAAUUUAAAAUUAAAUUGAUGUUUAAUUUAAUCAUAACACCAACACAUUAAAACACAUAAAAGUAAGUAGGAUAUAAAUUAACUGGGCAGUGUUGAAUGCCUCGUGGUACGGAAAACAUGGCCAAAAAACAGCAUACUAAUCUCUAAGAAUUUUGGAUCCAUUAUUCUAUCCCAUUGAAUUUGGAAUUUCCAACCAAGUUUGUGAUUCUUUAUUCCGUCUCAACUAUGGAUUGAAUAUAUACGGGUCAUCAUCCUCCUAUUUUCGCCUUUUCUUCUAUGACUUCCUUUAUGUCUUUUUCAUGUUUCAAAGGUAGAAUUUAUGCAUGUAUUUGGCCAUUUGCCAAUAAUUGCACUUUCACGAAACUAGUAGUGUAUUGGUGUUGGCAGUAUACUCAAAGUUUUAUUAUUAUUUUGGUAUCCAAUCGCGUUGAAAUUAGGGUAAAUUAUUAAAAUAGUCACUUUUAUUUGCCUCAAGUUACAUUUUAGUUACUUAUGUUACAAAUGUUACGUUUUAGUCACUUAUAUUAUCGUGUUAUAACAUUUUAAUCAUUGAGUUGUUAAUUACCAUUAACGGUGUAACGGUAAGCUGACAUGACAUAUUAAAUCAUCAUUUUAAAUGAAAAUUUUAAGUUAAAAUUUUACAAUUGGUCUCUAUAUUUUUUCAUCUUAAACAAUUUAAUUUUUUCUCUUUUAUGUUCUUUUAACUUUCUUUAUUUUCUUUAUUUUCCUUUCUCUUUUGCUUCUCCCUAUAUUUUCCUCCCUUAUUCAUUUCUUUUAACAUAGUUUUUCUAUGUUUUCCAUUUGUUAAAAUUAGUCCACAAGCUCGCCUCAAUAAAAAAAUUAAAUUGUUCCAAAAAGUAAAAGUAUAGGGACUAGUUUUAACAAAUGAAAAACAUAGAAAAACUAUGUUAAAAGAAAUGGAGAAGGGAAGAAAACAGAGGGAGAAGCAGAAGAGAAUGAAAAAAAAAGAAAGUUAAAAAAACAUAAAAGAAAAAAAUUAAAUUGCUCAAAACAAAAAAUAUGGGGACUGAUUGUAUAAAUUAACCUAAAUUUAUUGUUUAAAAUGAUGAUUUAACGUGUCAUCAGCUUACCAUUACACUGCUAGUAAUAAUUAAUGGCUCAGUAACUAAAAUGUUACAACGCGAUAACGUAAGUGGUUAAAACACAACAUUUCAAACAUAAAUGACUAAAAUGUAACUUGAGGUAAACAAAAGUGACUAUUUUGGUAGUUUACUCUUAAAAUUAUGUUAUAGGCCAGAUUGGAGGACUUCCACUACUACAUUGGAAAACCAAAUGAAUGACCUUGAAAUUAAGAUGCAAUUUGACCCAAUGGACAUUCUUGUUCUGGAGGGACUUCUCUCAAGUUAUAGGGUGUAUAGGAAGGAGGAGCUUGCAUGGCUUCAAAAAACGAGUAAAGAAGAAUUAACAAAAUUUAGCAUUUAUAGGUGCAAAAUAUAAAAUUAGUUUUCCAGAAUCAUUUGCCUCUAUACAUGGCAAAGGUUAUGCUAUUGAUAUGGAAUUUUUGGAAUUUUCUUUUAACUCAACAAAAAGAGCCAAGAAUAUCGACGUAUCAAAAACAUCUCAAAAUAACUGCAAACACCUUAACAAAAAAUGUUGGAAAAUAUUGAGUGGAGAACAUAGAUCUGGAGACAAUAUUGAAUUAAAUAGUAGACCUCGAGGCGCAGGUGACACUUUCCAAAGAGAACUGUUUACCUCCACACAAAGUUGCUAGAGGGUUAAGACAAAGGUCCUUCCGGGAUACAACGAAGCUUUUGAAUUUCCUUUGAUUAGCAAAAUCGAGGAAUUCCUUAACUCUUACUCUAAUUUUUGAAAACAAGAUUGAUUGUAAUUGUAUUUUUUAGCACCAUAGACCCUCUAUUUAUAUAAACUUAAUGCAUACUACUUUGAAGACUCACAACCCUUUACAUUUGAUUUCCAUUGGACAUACUUCUUAGAAAAACAUGUCUCAUGGAAUCAAAUGUAUCCUUUGAAUAAAUCAUCACUUUCUAAUAAGUGCUCAUGAAUACUUAUGAAUUUGCACACGAGCUGAUACACAGGCAUGUGAGCCAAGUUAGUAAGUUACACUAAUGAGCACACGGUUGGACAGACAGGCAUGUGGUAUAGCCAUAUGGCUAUGUUUGGAGCCACACGGUCUAGACUCUGUCACACGGCCUGGACGCACGGUCAUGUGACCCCUGUAGGUGAAAUUUUUUAGUUUUCCAGAAAUGUUCUAAUUUGUUCCAAUUUGGUCCCUGAUUGCUUGAAAGCUAUUUUAAGGCCUCGUAGACUCAAUUUAAGGCUCGCAAAUGCAUGAUUUAUUCCAUUUUGAAUUUCUUAUAUAUUUAUUAAAUAAAUUUGAAAAUUAAUUACUAUUGGUUAUAAAAUGUUUCGUUUUCUACAGUAAUACUUUGUAACCCUAUUUCAUCGAUGAAAACGGGUUAUAGAUGUUACAUGUACACCUUAUUGUACGCUUGAGACAUGGUGGAUUCACUAUCACAAUAUACGGAAAUGGCGAAUGUACGUUGUGGCCAUAACUUUAUAUCUAGCAAGAGAUAUCUUAGUCAUUCCACUUCUUUGCCAGUAUCCGCCAAAGCUAUAAAUUCAACAUCCAUAGUUGACUGUGAAAUGCAAGUUUGUUUCUUGGAGACCCAACUAAUGGCUCCACCUUUGAUCGUAAAAAUCCAUCCCGAUGUCAACGUAUUGUCACUUAAAUUUGUAAUACAACUUGCAUCCGGGUAACCUUCUAGUACCGCGGGAUAAUCACUAUAGAAUAAUCCCAAAUUUUUUGUUUUCUUAAGAUAGCCAAAAAUCCAACAAAUUCCUUUCCAAUGAUCGGUACUAGGACAAUUUCUAAAUCUUACCAUUUUGCACACAGCAAAUGCGAUAUCGGGUCUAGUACAAUACGUUGCAUACAUUAGACUUCCAAUUACAUCGGUGUACUCAAGUUGCACUACAACCCUGCCAUUAUUCUCACUUAACUUAAAGUUUGAAUCAUAUGGAGUGUUCGAAUCCUUGAUAUUCAAAUGUUUGAACUUUUCCAAUACUUUCUCGAUGUAGUGAGAUUGGCUUAGUGCAAAGCCUCUUUUAUGCUUUUUCAUCUUUAUAUCUAGAAUUGUAUCUACCUUGUUAAGAUCCUUCAUCUUAAAAUUCAAGGCUAGAUACUCUUUGGUCUCAUAAACAUAUUCCAUGUUCGUCCCAAAAAUUAACAAAUCGUCUACAUAAAGAUAAAUAAUUACACCAUACUUAUCGGUAAAUUUAGUGUAAAUAUAUUUAUCCACACCAUUAUGUAAAAAAACCAUAUGACAAGAUAAUUGAGUCAAAUUUCUCAUGCCAUUGUUUAGGCGUUUGUUUUAAGCUAUAUAAUGACUUGAUCAACUUACACAUCUUAUGUUCAUUUCCAGGAAGCACAAAGCCUUCUAGUUGCUCCAUGUAGACGUCUUCUUCGAGAUCACCAUUCAAACAAGCCAUCUUAACAUCCAUUUGAUGUACAUGUAACUUAUGGAUAAUGUAAGUGCUAUAAGAAUUCAAAUGGAGGUCAUCCUAGCGACUGGUGCAUAGGUGUCAAAAUAAUCUAGGCUUUUCUUUUGCCUAAAUCAUUUAGCUACCAACCUAGCCUUAAAGGUUGGAGCACCCCCUAAUGGAGUAUUCUUCCUCGAUAGGCUUCGAUCCUUGAUGAAGAUCAACUAGAAUCCAAGAAUUGUUUGGUAAUAUUGAAUCAAUUUCAUCAUUGAUCGCCUCUUUCCAAAAUGUCACAUCCCUAAAAGUCAUGGUUUCACCAUAGGAUUGUGGAUCACCAUCCACAUUAAACAUUAUGGUGAUCUUCCUAAUUAUGAAUUCUUUAUUUCCCUCAACAAGAAAUACUAGCGAUUGCGAGGAAAUGGAAUCAGGACCAAAGUCCAUUACUUUUCUCACUCUUUGACUUUUUCUCGGCUUUGUAUCCUUAUUGUCACAAAGACUUCUUUUGGUUUGAUCAUUUGAGAUCAUUGGUUGAUAUUUUUUCUCGAAUCUAUUGAAUCAUCGAAAACCUUAUUUUCAAUGAAUACAACAUCUAUUGUUUCAAUUCCCGUAUUUGACACUAAGUCAAGAACACAAUAAGCCUUAGAGUGUUGGGUAUAUCCAACAAAUGCACCUUUGAAGGCUCUUGGUCUUAACUUUGUUCUCCGUUGGUCAGGAACUUUAUAGUAAGCCAAGUACCCUCACACUUUGAAAUAAUCUAAGUUUGGCAUCCUACCAUUCCAUAACUCAUAUAGAGAUACUUUGAAUUUUCUCGAUGGUAUUCUAUUAAGGAUAUAACACGUAGUCAAUAAUACUACACCCCAUAGAUUAUAUGGAAGUUUAGCAUUUAACAACAUCAAGUUAACUAUAUCUACUAGAGUACGAUUCUUUCUUUCUGUCAAACCAUUUUGUUGCAGAGUAUAAGGAGCAGAACACUCAUGUACCACACCUUGUUCCUCACAAAAUACAUUAAAUUCAUUUGAAAAAUAUUCACCACCUCUAUCAUUACGAAGCACUUUGAUUUUCUUACUAAACAAAUUCUCAACCUCAUUUUUAAAAUGUUUAAACAUAUAAAAAGCCUCGUCUUUACUUUUCAUGAAAUACACAUAAGUAAAUCUAUAGAAGUCAUCUAUAAAAGUGAGAAAUAUCAUUUUCCACCUCUUGUUAGGGUUCCAUUUAAUUCACAAGCAUUUGAAUAGAUUAAAUCUAACACUUGUGAAUUCCUUUCACACUUAUUAGGAAAUCACUUCUUGAUAAUUUUUUGAUUAAAUACAAAUUUCACAUUUAUCCAUAAAAUCAUCAUUACUUAGAUUGAUAUAACUAUUCUUUUGCAUAUAUUGUAAAGUUAUAAAAUUAAAAUGUGCUAAACAUGCAUGCCACACAGGAGAAGACUUAACAAUAUAAGUAGAAGAAUUGACUUUAUUCAUAUUAAUGCUCAACUUGAAAAAACCCUCGUUACAAUAUCCUUUUCAUACAUAUAUAUCACCCUUAAGCAAGACAAACUUAUCAAAUUCCAAGAUAAUCUUGAACCGUUGUUAUAUAGAAGACUCUCAGACACUAAAAUAUUUCUCACAUCGGGAACAUGUAACAAAUUGGUCAAAGUCAAUUUCUUCCCAAAUGUGAAGUUGAGUUCCACUGUACCUUGACCGAGCACCUUAACUGAUUGAUAGUUGCCCAUAAGCACUUCGCAAUUUGCCACUAGUUCAUAACUCUCAAACUGUUGUCGGUCAUUACACACAUCGACAGUAUCUCUAGAGUCAAGCCACCAAUUACAGGACUUAUCGACCAUGGCUAUGUUGAGUUUGGUAAUCAUACCAAUCUCCAAACUCUCGAUUCCUUCCGUAACCAUGGUCACUAAGUCCCUGUCUUCCACCAUAUUGGCUUUGGAAGUUAUGGCAUCAUGCUUAUUUUUGAGAAAUUUUCAAUCCUUAAUAUAGUGUCCUUUCUUAUUGCAAUUAUAACAAAUGCAAUUUUUUUUCCUUGUCUUGCACGUCAUUGGUCUUAGAUGUCGCCUUUCUCUUACCAUUUUGAGAGUUCUUGGACUUGUUCACAUGGUUCACUUUAGAACUUUGGGGAAGAUACACCGCAUCACACUUUUGAGUUUCCUCUUCAAUAACAAAUGCCUAAGUAUUUUCUCCAUAGUGAAGUCCUUUUCCAUAUGCAGAAGUUUCUUCCGAUAAUUCUUCCAAGACAAGACCAACUUUGAAAUAAUAGCGCCGACUUGUAAAAAUUCUAGAAUAACAACAUUCAAGUCACGGAGCCUGCUUACAAGGACUUGACUUGAUCCAUGAUUAGGAUACUAUCGAGCAUUUUGAAUUUGAAAUACUUCAUCAUUAAAAAUUUAUCAGUACCUUGUCAUUCGGUGUUAUAUUUCUCUUCAAGAGCUUUCCAUAUUUUUAUCAGGGAUUGCAUCAACAUGUAGAGAUCAUACAAUCGAUUAGACAAGGUGUUGAGGAUGUGUCAUCGACAUGUGAAAUUGUCUUUUUCGCUCUUUUUCUUGAGUUUAGCCACUUUCGCAAUUUUCUCAGGGUUUACAUUGGGGGCAGGAUCCUCCACAGGUUGUAGGUUUGGAUCCAGAACAUAUGCCACAUUUAAGACAAUAAGAAGCAACAACAUCUUAUCCUUCUAGCAAUUGAAGUUUGAACCAUCAAAUCGGUCAAGUUUCACAAACUCUUGGUUCAUCACUUUGAAUGCGAUGGUAGCCUCUGCUGCCAUCUCCAAAUUAGUUCUCUUUGAUUGUUGGAAAAUAUUGAGUGGAGAAGAUAGAUCCAGAGAUGAUAUUGAAUUAAACAGUAGACUUUGAGGCGCGGGUGACACUUUCCAAAGAGAAUUGUUUACCUCAACACAAAGUUGCUAGAGGGUUAAGACAAAGGUCCUCUUGGAAUAAAAACAAAGCUUUUGAAUUUCCUUUUAUUAGAAAAAUCGAAGAAUUCUAUAACUCUUACUCUAAUUUCUAAAAACAAGAUUGAUUGUAAUUGUAUUUUUGAGGACUAUAACCCUCUAUUUAUAUAUAAUCAAUGAACACUAUUUUAGAGAGUCACAAUCAUUUACAUUUGAUUUCCAUUGGACAUACUUCUUAUAAAAACAUGUCUCAUUGAAUCAAAUGUAUCAUUUGAAUAAAUCAUUACUUUCUAAUAAUUGAUCAUCAAAAAUUAUGAAUUUGCAAUUUACAAUUUCCAACAAAAAAAAUUCUAAUCACUGCAGAAAAAAAAAACUAAUUAGGUUUUACUUAGAGUAAAAAGAAAAUUGAAAGAAUAAAAAAAUGAAAUAUAUAUAAUUAUUUAUUUUCUUUGGAGUACUUGGUAGGAAGGAUGAAAAUUUUGAAAGAAAUAAUUUUCUUCCCAUUAAUUGCUCACUAUAGUUGAAAAGUAAGAAAAUGAAAUAAAACUUUUGAAAAAUGCAUAAUUCGAACUAACAUAUUUGCAAUUCUCAUUUUCUCUUCUCUUAUAAUUCGAAUUUGGAAGGAUAAAUAAAUAAUUAACACAAAUCCCACAAGCCUUUACAUGUUGAGAGUUUCCUACAACCAUAUGAUAAACAAGAGGAGUCAAAUUCGAAAUUCUAUUUUAAAGAGAAGUGAUAUUUAUCCGGACUAUUGCAAAUUAGCGUCAAUGACUGAAAUCAACUUCCUUCUCAUGAGGAGUUUUAUUCAUUACGGCACCUUCACUGACAACAUCCAUCAUAUUUCUUUCCAUAGGUUGGAGUCCUUCAUAAAAACAUUGGAUGACUAAAUGUUUCGAAAUUCUAUGUUAUAGGCAACUAGCACAUAGUUGUUUAGUCGAUUCUCGGAACGAAUGAGAUUUGUAAAGUGUCUAGAAAUACAUGCCAUAUAAAUCUGUGAUAGUGUGAUGUGUAUGAUCCGAUCUAAUCUUUGUUUUACAUAUAGACAGAAAUAAUUUUCAAUCGAGCUAUUUCAUAAAGUGUUGAAAGUGACACUAAGGUGUCUGAGUAAGAAUGUGUUUAUGAUGAGUCGAAACUUGGAAAGGUAUGAAGAAGAGUUCAUGAUAUGGAUGUGAUGAGGUACGAAAUGAAAUAGUCAUAAAUCGAGAAAUAUAAGAAAAGUGAAAUGAAAUGGAAGUUUAUCUUGUGAUGAGCGCAUCUAUGUUUAUGUGACAUUCAUAUGAUAUUAUGUGCCUGACUUGUUUGAUUAAGUAAAUGCUAUAAGUAAACUUACUCAAAAUUCAUGGAAUGUAUGUUUAAGUACACUUGUUUGAAAAGGAUAAUUGAAAAAUUCGGGUAACAUAAUUAUGUAUGUUAAUUUGCUUGAAGUGAAUUAUGUAAUUGUGAGGAUAUGAUGUUGAUGAUAAAUGCUAAGUCAUAUGAGUGUAUUUAUGAGAGUCCAGUUAGAGGCUUUACGACCUCACCCCCUUAUCAAUGUGGUAUUUUAUAACAAAAAUUCACGAUAAUUAUGUUGAAUAGUUCACAAGUGUGAAACUAAAGAGUACAGUAGUGGAAUAAUUAAAAAUGCAGACGGAGUUAAAAAUAGUUUGACAAGUGAACACAGUUUUGAAAAAGAUAUCAAAUUAUUUUAAAGAUUAUUCAAAUUACGUAAUGUCACGGUUAAAGAAUAAGUUAACCUCGGCUAAUCGACUUAUUCAGAUAUGAUGUCUAAAAUAUGUGUUUGCUGAAUUUUUUUUCGAAUUGGUUUUCGUUAGGGAAUGGAAUGAUGCAGGGUUCAUGAUGAUAGAAUUAGUAAGAGAAAUGAUAAUUGAGUAGAAAAGAUGUCUGUGUGUGUGACAGUUAUAGUUGAAACGAAUAUGAUGAUCUUUUUUAGGUAUUAUAUAUAUUCUUUUAUCCUCAAGUGUAUGUGUGUGGUUAUUCAAUUUUUGAUGGAGUUCUUAUGUUGUGAGAAUGCUAGCUAACUAUGAUGUUAGACAAAAGCCCUAUUGGUCUGGUCGGUUUAUGAUAAGUAUUUCUUCAUCUCUUUGGAAUUUUAUUCUAAUAUGUUAGAAUGAAGUCGAUGGUAAAAAAAUAAAUAAAUAAAAAUAAAUAAAAAUAUUCGAGGUUCAAUCGAAUUGUGAUUUUGAGAAGUUAGUAAAAGUGUUUCAUGAGUGUUGAAAGCAACUUCUUCUGAUAAGAUUUUCGGGGAUGAAAAUCCCUAAAGGGGGGAGAGUUGUAACAGUCUAAUUUUCAGUGGUGUCGGAACAGUGAUUCGAGAUCACUAAAUCAGACAAAUGAGUAGGAAAUAUUAUUAAUUUAGUGAGUAUAAGUUAAAUGUGAAGUUAGGAAAAAUUUUGAAGUACUGAAUAGUGUACUAAAAAUAAAUAUUAAAAUAAUUAGAAUCGAAAACGAGGUAUCGAGACCUCGAGAAUUUUAAAUCGAGCCAUAAAUAUUUUUAUAAAUAUUUAUGGAGUGUUAAUAAGUUAGUAUUAAAGUUUCGUCAAGAAAUUUUAAAGUUCUGAUAGUUAAUUGAACAAAAAGGACUAAAUUGUAUUAAAUGCAAAAUUGUGGGAAAUGAUUAAAUAGCUUAAAUGAUAAAAGAAAGAUGGUUUAAAAGGAAAAUAGACCCAAGGUCUCUUUGGGCUGGACGGCAAUGGCAUGAAAUCAGCAAGAAAAUAAGGAGAAUUAAGGGAAAAAUUGGAAAAUUGCAAAAUUUACUUAAUAAAGCUAGGACUAAAGUGGAAUUAUCUAGAUUUCUCUUUAUUUUUUCUGCAUUCUCAUCAGCAAAAACACCAUGGAAGGGUUCCCUUAAGCUUUUGUUUUCAUAUUUUUACUUCAGGUAAGUUCAAUUAUUGAUUAUUUCUUGAAUUUUUUGUGUUUUUGUGACUUUUACAACUAGGUCCACUUGUUAAAUUCAUUAGUUUUUGAUUCUAUGAAAGAAAUUGAAAGUUUCCAUGAAUAUGUGCUAGAAGUAUAUGAUGAUUUGACAUGGAAUUAGAGCUUUAAGUUGUUUAUUUGCUGAUUUUAUUGAAAGAAUUGAAUAGAAAGUGAAUGUUUGGGACCUAAUUGUAAAAGAGUUUGAAGUUAGAGUUUUAUGUAGAAAUUCUGAAAUUAAAUAGUUAUGAAAUAACUUAUAAUGUCUAGGAAAAGUAUUAAUUGAGAAAAUUAUCUUAAUUGAGGGGUUAAUUGAGCAAGGACUGAAUUGUAUGAAUUGUGAACUUUGGGGCAAAAUAGAAAUCAACAUUUUGCACUAAAACUGUUUUGGACAACAGCAGUAGUCUAACUUUGAAAAAUCACCAAAAAUUGUAUAAAUGGAAUUAGAGGAUGAAUAAAAUAUUCAAUUAAAGCUUAUUUAGUCUAGUUUCUUAUAGAAGAAAUGAUGUAAGCAAUGGAAUUGUAAAUCAUGAGAUAUGAUAAAUUUUGUGAGACAAGGUCAGAAUGAUUUCGGGUUCCCUUGUUCUUACUUUGUAAAAUCAUAAAAAAUUUGAUAAAAAUAAUUAUGGGCUUAAAUUUAUAUGUUUAGAAUCCUGAAUGAGUCUAUUUUCAAGAGAAACAAAUGGUAACAUCAUUCGAAAUUAUGAAAUAACAGAACAGGGGAGACUUUAAUGAAUAAACUGUAUUAAUUGGCCCAACCAAAAAUUAUGAAAUUUUUAUGGUAAGAAGAUAUAUGAGUCUAGUUUCAUGGAAAAUUAGAGGAUCUUAAUUUUGAGUUCCGUAGUUCCAGAUAUAAAUAAUUUAGUGACUACGACACGGGUGGAUAGUCUGAAUAUUCACAUAAGUAAUUAGUGAAAAUUAUAGAUAAGGUUACUUACGAGUGUGUUAUUUAUACCAAGGAUGUGGAUGGAGAGGAGGAGGAGGAAAAAUAUAUGAAUGACUCGUGUAUAAAUUAAACACAUGCCCGAUUAUAAUCGAUAAGUGUUGGAUUAGAAAUGAUAUAAUGUUUUAUGUGGAAUAUUUAUUAUGAAAUUAUGAUUAUCGUUAUAAUACAAAAUUUGUACUUGUGAGUUUAUAUGGAUAAAUUUUAGUGAUUAUUUGUUAAUUUUAUGAAUUUCAUGAUGUGUUAUUUCAUAUGUAUUAAUGAUAAAAUCGUGAAUGAUGUAAAAGCAUGAAAAUUGAAUAAAUGAUCAAAUUGAGCAUUUUAGUUCAGUGACAAGAUGAAUUGAAGGAAAAGACCAUAGUUGGACCAUGGCAACAAGUGAUAAGUGAUAGCUUCGGCUACACUUAUCUGAUCAAGGAUAAGUGGAAGUGAUAAGUAAUAGCUUCAGCUACACUUAUCUGAUCAAGGAUAAGUGAAAGUAAUAAGUAAUAGCUUCGGCUACACUUAUCUGAUCAAGGAUAAGUGAAAGUGAUAAGUAAUAGCUUCGGCUAUACUUAUCUGAUCAAGGACAAAUGACAAGUGAAAAGUGGUAGCUUCGGCUACCUGAUCAGUGAAAAGUGGUAGCUUCGGCUACCUGAUCAGUGAAAAGUGGUAGCUUCUGCUACCUGAUAAGUGAAAAGUGGUAGCUUCUGCUACCUGAUCAGUGAAAAAUGGUAGCUCCGACUACCUGAUCAAUGAAAAAUGGUAGCUCUGGCUACCUGAUCAGUGAAUAGUGGUAGCUUCGGCUACAAGUGACAAGUGAUUUCCGUAUAAGACCAUAUCUGGGAUAUGGCAUCAGUGAGAUAUGUGAUUCGUGUAAGACCAUAGCUGGGCUAUGGCAUCGAUAUGUGAUAUGUGAUUACGUGUAAGACUAUAGCUGGGCUAUGACAUCGAUAUAUGAAGAUGUGUAAGACCAUAGUUGAACUAUGACAUUGAGUACUCAAUUCCGUAAGACGUUCACUAAUUUGACAAAGUUUGGUAAGUGUUACAUGGAAUUAUGUGAUACAGGAAGUACGAAUUGAUAAGAUAUGAGUAUAGAACUUGGUUGAUAAAUGAAUUCAUUUGUGAUUAUAUAAUUGUUCAUCUUGAAUGUAUUGUCCAUAUGUAUUGAUAAUUCAAACGUAUUAAUGAAUAAAGUUCCGACAUUAAAUAAAUUGAACACGAGACAAAUAAUUAUAAAAUUGAACUCGGAAUUCAUGAAAAUGAUGAUUAUUGAUAUAUAGAGACAUGAGACAUUGGUAUAUGAAUAUGGAAAAUAUUUGAUAAAUGUGUUUAUUCAUAAUUAUGGAAUUAUAUACCUCAUGUGUACUAUUUGCAUAAAGAUGAUAUUUCAAAUACUUUGGUUAUUUAAGCUUAAAUAUGAAACAGUAUGAAAUCAAGAUAAGUUGUUAUAAAAAUAUAUUUAGAUUACAGAGAUAUGGCUGAUAUAUGUUGUAUGAUUACAUAACGUGAAAUUGUGUAUAUAUAUGAGAAAUUUAAUGAGAAAUGAGCCCAUACACGUUUCUUGUUAUUUAUAUGAAGUGUACGACUGACAAGGGUGAUGAAGUUAUAAACAGAGAGUUACACGGGUUGAAAACACGGGCGUGUGACUCUCUAAAGUGUGAAAAUUUUCUAAAGUGUUGCAAAAGUUUCAUAUGUUUAUGGUUUGGUCCCAAACCACCCUAAAUGUAUGUUUUGGGCCCCAUAGGCCCAUAUAAGGGACGUUAAACAUAUGUAUGAAAGUUUUUAAUUUAGAAGAAAUUUUAUGGCUGAUUUUUACAUGUGAAGACUCUUCAUGUCGUUCUACUUGAUGCCACAACUUUUUUUCUUGAUAGAUGUAACACCUCUAACCCGUAUCUGUCGUUGGAUAAGGGUUACAGAGCAUUACCAUACAACCGAAAACAUUUAAACUUAAUAUCAUUCAAUAAUAUAAUCACAUCAUAAAUCAAUUAUAUAAAUACAUACCGUCCUUAAAUCGAGCCAUCGAGGCCCUAAAAAACAUCUUAGAAGUAAAUUGAGACUAAUUUAAAAAAUUUGGAAAGCUUAGGAAAAACAUGUAAAAUUUGCAAAACAGGGGUCAUACACCCAUGUGCCAAGCCGUGUAACUCACUGAUUUGCACCUUAAAGAAAUCAUCAAAUGACACAUGGCCAUGUCGUUAGGCUGUGUGUCUCACACGGUUGAGUCACACAUCCGUAUGGACCCAAAUUUACCUCAAAUCAAGCCAUUUCAAAACCAUCUCAUGCUUUAACAUUUAGACCAAUUUUGUACACUUUCAAAGCACCAAAAGUUCACCUAAACACACAUACAUUUGCCACUUCCAAAAUCUUAAUUCAACUAACCAAUAUCCCAAUCAAGGUACCACAAUUAAUAUCAAAAUAUCACCUACCUGGACAUGUUCAUAUGCCUAAUUCUAUGCAGACAAUUCUAGACCAUUUAAGUAUUAAAAUAUACCUCAUUUAGCCAUUCCCAAAACAUACAAAACAUACCAUAAAAAACCAUUAUCAAGCAAUAAAAACUUACCAAAAGAACCUUAUAUACAUGCACUUAUAAGUGACCAAAAUGACUUACUUAGGCAAGCAUUAUAAGUUCAUCAACAAACCAUAAGCAUCAAAGCACAAACAUACCAAGUUACCAUUUUACAUGUUUAUCAAAAACGCCAUUAUAAACCAUCCUAUACAUGUUACCCUAUACAUGCCAUUAUAAACCUUAACCAAAUUACUAAAAAACUACCGAAUUGUCCACUGGAUAGUGUGAUAGAUCUCUGACAAGCUUCCAAACUGAUCGAGUUUCUGACAAUCUAUAAAACAAAAGAAAAUGAUUACGUAAGCAAUGAAUGCUUAGUAAGCUCGUAUGAACUUAGAACAUAACUUACCAUUUCAAUAAUGAAAUUUAUAGAAUAAGUACAAACCGUUACCAAUGCCAUAAGGUUAGUAAAAGCCUAUAUAACAUUAUCAAUCUCACAAGUUACUAUAUUUGUUCAUAAUUCACAUGAAAUCAAUCACGUAUAAUAUAACAUUUAAUUAAUCAUCCUUACUAUAUGAUCAUGUUUCAUUCCAUUUACUUACUUAUUGUUUCCAAUACCAUGAGUUUAAUAUAAGCUUAUUCAAGCAUCAUCAUGCUUACAUAUUAGUAGAUUCAUUGAUAAUCUUUUAAACUCAUUUAUAACAUAAAUAGAUUUCAUAAGAUACAUUACAUAAGCAUAAACCUUUUCAUACCGUUAUGAACCUUUCCAUUAAGUCACCUAUCGUUUCAUUCCUUUUCUUACCCGUUGAACCAUAUAGAAUUACAUAUACUCGGGAAAGCUCACACGAAGUGUACCUUUACAUAUAAUCAUAAUCUUUCCUUUACAUCAAUUCUCACACGAGUUGUGGAAUGGGCAUGCUCACACAAGCUGUGGGUCAGAAUAUAAGUUAUACGAUGUUGCUCACAUGAGUUAUGGAGAAUCCACAACAAAUGUAGGAUCCCAAUUAUCGGUAGGACAUUCAAGACCAACACCUGAAACAUGAAAUCCCUAAUGACAUGUCAUUUGUAUCCUAAGAAUUCUUAAGGUUCAACCGAGACUCGAUAUCCAUCAAUUCGUCAUAAUAUGGAUACGUUCACAUAUAUAUUGAUUCAUUUUCAUUAAAUACAACAUAGUAAACAUUUAAUUAAAUUAAUAUUAUAAUGAUUACAGUUCAUACAAACUUACCUAACUAAAUUGCAGCAAUGACUAAGUACAGGGGCUAUUUGGUAAUUUUCUCUUCUCCUCGAUUUUUCACUCAUUCUUGAUCUAAAAUAAUAGUUCCAUUCAAUUCACUAAUUCUAACAAAAAAAUCAAAUUCAUUUUUAUGCAAUUAAUUCAUUUUUGAUAUUUUACAAAAUUUCCCCAAAAUUUAUCCUUUUUGCAAUUUACUCUCUAAACCUGAAACUUGCAAUUUCAUUAUUUUUAAUAUAAAUCACGCUAGCCAAUUUUUACCCAAUCUUAUAACAGCCCAUAUUUAUUCAAAAUUUACAAUAUUUUCCUUGAAUUUUACCAUUUUCAUAAAUCAAUCCCUAAACUUGAAAAUCAUCAAAAAAUACUUAACAAAAUACUUAUAUUCAACAACCAAGCUUAAUAUCAUAAAAUUCCAAGAACAUCACAAAUUCACCCAUAGUAAAUUUCUGUAUACUUAACAAUUUAACAAAUUAACCCUCAGAUUAACUAGAUUAAGUUAAUACGAUACCAUAAAUAUCAAAUCCAUUAAAACCGGGUAGAAAUUACCUACCAUGCAUGAAGAAAUAGCUUUUUAGCUUGGCUUCCAUGGAGUAUUUGGUUAGACAAAGAAAGAGAUUAAAAAUGAAAAAGAUGAUGAUAGGUUUCAUCUUUUAUUUUAAUUUUACUUAUUUACCAAUUUACCUUAUUAACCUUUUUAAACCAUUUAAAUUUCAAUAAAAUUUAUCCAUAUUUAUCCACUAAUAUAAAAAAGGUAUAUUUACCUUUUAAAACCCUUAGCUUAUGGUUCUUUAGCCAAUUAAUACAAUUAAGCUAAUAGCAAUUGACUUUUGUAUCCUUUACAAUUUAGUCCUUUUUAAUUAAUUAACUAUCUAAACAUUAAAAUUUUUUAACCAAAUUUUAAGACGGCCUUAAUAACAUUCCGUAAAUAUUUUAUUAAAUAUUUAUGGCUCGAUUUAUAGAAACGAGGUCCCGAUACCUCAUUUUUUAAAACUACUUGACUUUAUAGUCAUAUCAGUUGGACCUAAUUAUUCAUUCAAAUAACAUAAUUUUCCAAUUCAAAAUUUAUUUUAAUACUAUAAUUAACUCAUAAAUAUUUAAUAAUAUUUACGAGCUCACUUGUCGAAUUUGUGACCCCAAAACUACUAUUUUUGACACUACUAAAAAAUCAAGCUAUUAAAAUAGAAGUAGCACGUCAAGUAGAAAAGAAUUAUCAAGAAAUAACCUUAUUAUGUCAAUUCAUGUGGUUAUAGAUUCAGGAGGUAAAUAAAAUAGUCAAUUCUUCACCUUGUCGGCUAGCGAAGAGGGUAAGGCUCUUAGUUUGAUUUGCUCUUUGAUCAGUCAUUGCCGUCUCAUAGUAGAACACACUACAUAAAAGCCCUUCAAGCACUUAUGAGGAUCUUCGUUUGUUUGACCAUGAAAAGUAAGCAAUAAAUGAAUUAGUCCAGAUUUUAAUUCAAAAGAUACCUCUAAUUUAGGAUAUUGAUGCACAACUGUUGUUGCUUCAGAUUCUACGUAGCUAACUCUCUCAUUGUUGGUUCUAAACGAGCCAUUGGUUCUUCUCCUUUUUGAUUUGGUAGAUGAAGGCGACUGGUUAAUUCUCUCUUGAACUCCCUUCCUUAGUCUUCGAGCAGUUUUCUCAAUCUCAAAAUUGUAUUAGAGUUCACCUACAUGAGAAGACCAAAAUUUUAAUUAAUAUAUUUUAUGGUUGAGCAAAAAGAAAGACUGAAGCAUAAAAAGGAACAUAAACAAAAUAAAAUUAAAAAUAAUAGAUAGAAAAAAGUAUUAAAAUUAAUCCUCGACAAAAACGCCAAAAUUUGUACAGUUUUCAAGACCUAAAAAAGUAAAAUUCUAUUAAAAAAAUAUAAAUUUAGUACAUAGCAGUGAGUAGAGUCAUAUUUAUAGAGAUCGGUAAUAAUUUUAUUUCUUAAAUAAAAAAAAGGAAAAUAAAUAUGAUGGGGGUUUAGAAAAUAAAAUACUAAAAUUAAAUUUAAAUGUUAACCAAGAAGGUAAUAAUUAAAAUUGAAGAAAACCAACAUGAUGAAGCUCUAGCCAAAUGUAAAAUAUAUCUUUGAUUCACAAGUUUAAUCAUUGAUGCAUAGAUAAUUUUAUUGUUUUUUAAUAAACUAGUUAUAGUUGCUGAUGUCACGCUUAGCAAUCAGUCUCUUUUUUACCUUAUCGAUAACCAAAAGCUCGUUGAAAUUAUUCCCCUUAUCAAUGAACAACCCCAUAAUUUUACCCUUAGAAUUUAGUUUACUGAUAAAAUUACGAACAAGAUAAACUUAAUUUUAACCAACAAACGCACCAAAUAGAGUUUAUUUAAGCUAGAUCGCAUGUGUACACAACAUUGAUUGCAUACGUAAUUAUGGUAUUUUUCACAAGCAUUAGAAUGAAUUAAAUAAUUAUAAAUUUUUUUUAUUGACAAAGUAAAUAUUCUAAGUUAUCAAAUAUGAGUCCUAUAUUUAAAAAAAAACCUAAAUAUUUGUAAUUAAAUUAAAAAAACAUGUGAAUACUAAAGAAGAAAAAAACAUGUAAAUUUUCACAUAGAAACUGUCAGGCUAGGCCAUUUUUAGACACUUUUGGACUUUUUUUGAGUUUGAGUUGUGAAAUAAUUUUAGUUAAAAUUUUCAAUUCCAUAUGAAAUGGUAUAUUAUAAAUUCAAAAUAAAACUUUAUAAUUUAAGUUAUAUGACUAAAAUAUUACAGCAGUAUAAUGAUGAAAGUCUAAACUACAAAAUUUACCAAAAAAGUUGUAAUAUCUUUUUCUCCCAAUAUUUCCAUAAAUCUAUAAUAUAAAAAACAUAAAAUUAAAUAAUAUAAUUAACAACUUAAAUAAUAUAAUUGAAUAGUAUAAUUCAAGAAUAUUACAAAUAAAUUAAUAUUGAUGCACUUAUAGAAACCAAGGCUUCCGCUCAAUCACGAGAGACGCUUUCCCAAGACAAUCUUACCGUAAUCAAAAGGAGGUCAAUCCACAACCGGCUAAGCCUUAACCUAAACCAUGCUGUUCAUCAAGAUUAAAUAUCUCAUCGAAAAAGUCGUCCUGUUGUCUUUUGGGUUGCUAUUAGCUCCAUUGGCCAUGGAUUCUACAAGAAAGUUGUGUUGACAUUGAUGAUUUGGUUUAAGCUAUUGGUACCAGUAUUGUCAAAGCGUCAGGUAGAAUGUAUAACAGAUGGCUUGACCAUUGCUGACUUUUACCAAUCCAGCAUGUUUUAAAACUUGGUGGUAGUUGCUGCUACUGGUUAUGUAUCGAGUUGCUGGGAUACUAGUUAUGUUUCAUUGUGCUAUUGGAAACAUGGUUUGUUGUUGGGAGUUUAUUUGUUGUCAGAUUUUCUAUGUUAUGGUUCCUGGUUUGUUGUUUGAUGAUUCGAUGGAUGGAUGCAGAAGUUGGAGAAACCAUAGAGUAUAAAUUUAGUCAAAAGAUAAAAUAGUAAAGGCCAUUUUGUUUUAUUUUUCCAUAAUAUUAUACAAAUAGUCACCAUGUAUAUAUACAUGGCACUGACAUGAUUGUGAAGGCCUACACACUUUCUAAUGGUUCUACUGGCUAUCAAAUUUUUUUACUAUAAUAGUAAUACAGGUAAUGCAGCAGCAAGUAUCACACUAUUAUUUAAUUUUGAUAGCCUUAAUUACCACCACAGCUUGAUGAAGAAGCAAAGGCAGUUAUGCCUCUAACUCAAAUGAUGCCUUCAUUGUGGGUGAACGACUCACGGGAUCAAUUUCAAUAGAUGCAUUGUAUCCAAACUUUGUAACUUUAAAUUUUGGUUUUCCUCUUUUCUCAAGGUUGGUUUUGAUUUGCCCCCAGUGAACAGGUUGUCUCUGGAUAUCAGUAUAGACCUGCAGCAUGCAUGCAAAUGGCAUGCAAAUGGUCAUAGAUUAAAUGAUUAUAUAUACGCAUUCUAACUAGUUAAUUAAUGAUAAGAUUGAAUUGAAUGCAACAAAUACCUUGCUGUUCUCAUCUAGUGGGUUGCUCCAGGCAACAACCCACUUGGUUCCAUCACGUCGCCUGUACACAAGACCAGCAACUGAACCAUGACUAUCAGCAUCAUCAGUCACUGAUUCAUGUGUAAACUCACUCGAAUCUCCAUCUUCAAUUAUUUCUGGGAAAUCCGCAUAAUGAGAGCCUUGCCAAACUUUCUUGUCAGUCAAGGUUAGAGCUUCGCUGGAAGAGUUCCAAAGCUUGCCGUUUGUGCAUUGUUGAGCUCUUUUCAUUUGAAAAUUAGCCAUGGUAGCUUUGUAUGUGCUUUGGUUAGCUAAAGUUUGUUUUGGUUGUGUUAUGCUUCAAAUAUUGCAAUACACACCUACUUAUAUACUAGUUUACACCAUGCAUGCAUUGUCCAUAACAACAACGUUUAUGCGCAUGAAAUUAUUUGACUUCAUUCACAUUAAAACUUUUUUAUAUUCUUUUUCCCUUUUUUUAUUCAUAUUCUUGAUGUGUCUUUUCACUUUUAAGUACAAAUUCUUUUCAAUUAAAGAAAUAUUUUUAAAGUAUUUGGAUUUUUUUGAUAAAGUAUUAUUUUUUAAAUUAAAUAAUUAACAAUAUAAAGGUAAACUACUUUCAUUAUGAUCUAAACUAUUAGUAAGUUUAUGUUUGGUUAUUCAAUUUAAAAAAAACAAGCUACAAAUUGAAUAUUAAACUAUUCAAAAAGUUUAUUUAAGUCAAUGAGCUAUUAAAGUUGUUGUUGUAUGACCUUCUCUAUUUGCACCACCUGUAUCUAUCAAAAGUUCUCAUUCCCCUUCUCUUCUACAAUUCACUUUUUUCUCAAGAAAUAACUUUUAACCUCGUGAAUCUGCGAACCAAAAUUCAAACAAAUUUUUUCUCCCAUCACUGACAUUGAUAGUCAAAUCAACUUGGAUAUAAAAUAUGUUCUACUACUUGUUAAUGGUUUUUGAUCCACCAUACCGAUCAUUGAAUCAUUGCUUGAAGCUUGCUAGCAGGACUUUAAAAUAAAACUUUAAUAACCUAGUGACUUCAAUAAAAACUUUCAAAUAGUUCAAUGACCAUUUUAUAAUUAUUUAAAAUUGAAUAACUAAAACAUAAAUUUACUAAUAAUUUAAUAUGAAUAAAAUAUAAUUGUUGGGGACUCAAACUAAACUCACAUCACAUAAUUAAAUAAAUAAUUUCAGCGGAUGUAUUACAUAAAAAAAUUAGUACAUAAUAAAAAAAGUCAUCUCAAAAUUAAAAGCUUCAAAAACAUACUUAAAUCUUAAUUAUAUAUUUUUAAGAAUUAUUGAAAUAAUUUUCUUUUACUAACUAGUGUCAGUUUCUAGUACUUACACAACUCCAUGUACAUCAUUAUCCUGGUAACCUAAUAGUCACCAAAGCAUAAGUAUACAUACAACUAGCGUGACUUAAACCCAAGCCACAACUGGAAUGAUGAACACCUUUAACUAUCAAGCUAUUACAUGAGAUUCAUAUUAAAUUUUAAUAUGUUAAUGAUAUGUUUGAAAUAUUUUUUAUAUUGAUACUGUAUUUGUAUUAAUAAUUAAAUAACUUUAAAUGUAAUUUAAUUUUAAUAACAUUAACCAUUUUUCCAUUAAACUUUGAAUCCCUUUGAAAAAAAUAGUGAUUUGUGUAUUAAGCAUAAAUUUUUGUUGGAAAAAAAGGGAAUAAAACUUUGCAUUUGAGAUGCUGAAAGGCUAAGGUAUUAAAGCAAUGAGACUUUUAGUAUGGAGCUGAAUUUUGUUAUAUUAUAAAAUAUGCUUUAAGUUUCAAGACAUUAUUAGUGGAGUUAGAUGUGUUUAGGUGACACUUUCAUGAUUUUGACAAGUUAAUUACUUGUUAUAUGCAAUGUUUUGUUUUUCAGUUGAUCAAUGAAUUAUUUUUCAUCAAAAUUCUUCUUGUUUCUGUUUCAAUCCAAGCUAUAUUUUCUUGUUCUUCUAGCUCGUGUUUCUUAUUUUGUUUAGCAAGUCACUAUUGCUUAAAGCUUAAGACUUUGCUGUAAUUGCUUAGUGAUAACUCUCAACUCCAAUAAUUUGUAUCGGGAGCUGAUUUCUUAGAUGACCUUUCUCUUUUCUACUUUAAAAAACAAUGUUUUCAUCAAGUUUCUCUCCAGCACCACCACCAGUAUUCAAUAGUGAAGCCUACCACAUUUGGGUAGUCAAACUGAAAACCUACCUGCAGGCAUUUGACUUUUGGGAAGCUAUCAAUGCUGAUGUUAAACCACCACCCUUGAGAGCUAACCCAUGGUAGCUCAAAUCAGGCAGCACUUUGAUGACAAAGCCAAGAGGUAUAAGGCAAUGUCAUGCAUCCAAAACAGUGUGUCAGACUUGAUUUUCACAAGGAUCAUGGCCUGUGAGACUCUAAAACAGGCUUGGGACAAGAUUAAAGAAGAGUUUCAAUGCACUGAAAAAACAAGACAACAACAAAUUUUAAACUUAAGAAGGGAUUUUGAAAACCUAAAGAUGAAUGAGUCAGAGAUAGUUAAACAAUACUCAGACAGGAUUAUGGCUAUUGUGAACAGCAUCAGAUUGCUUAGAGACCAAUUCAGUGAAGCCAGAAUAGUAGAGAAGGUUAUUUCAACCUUACCAGAGAGAUAUGAAGCCAAAAUCUCUUCCUUGGAAGACUCAAGAGGUCUGUCAAACAUCUCUUUGACUGAACUAGUCAAUGCCCUCUAUGCUCAAGAACAAAGAAGAGCUAGCAGACAGGAUGAGCAUCAAGAAGGUACCUUUUAAGCCAAGAGCAAACCAACAUCGAGCUCCUUUGGCUAUAAAGGGAAGAAAACUUGGUCAAACAAGCCUAGAAGAGAUGGAGCAAGAAGAAGGUAUCCACAUUGCUCUCUUUGUAAAAGGAUUAGCCAUUCAGAAGCAAACUGCUAGUAUAGACCUGAUGUGCAGUGUAAAAUUUGCAAACAAAUGGGCCAUGUUGAGAAAGUGUGCAAGAACAAAAACUAACAAAAGGAACAUCAAACUCAGCAGCCUAAAACAGAAGCUCAAAUGGGAGAAGAGAGUUGUAGUCAGGAAGAACAAGUAUUUUUUGUCUCUUGCUCAGCUACCAAAAGAAAAGCCACAAAAGGGUGGCUGAUUGAUAGUGGUUGCACAAACCACAUGACACCUGAUGCUGCUAUUUUCAAGAGCAUUGAUAGAAGCUUUAACACUAGAGUAAAAGUGGACAAUGGACAUUACAUUAAAGAAGAAAGCAAGGAGAUGUGCUGAUUGACACUCCUUCAAGUACCAAACUUGUUUCUAAUGUUCUAUUAGUACCUGAAAUUGAUAGAAAUUCUAAGUAUUGCUCAGAUUUUUGAAAAGGGAUACUCUGUAGUAUUCAAAGGCAAAGAGUGCCUGAUUAGUGAUCCAAGUGGAUCCAAUCUCAUGUCAGUAACCAUGACUGAUAGAAGCUUUCUUGUUGAUUGAAACAAGAUUUCAGUUAGUGCCUACACAACUGCAUUAGAUGAAUCCAAACUGUGGCACAAAAGGUUUGGCCAUGUCAAUUAUAAGUCUUUACUGCACUUGUCUAAAGAAGACUUUCUUGAAAAUUUCACAAAAACAGUUUGAAAACAGGAUGUUUGUGAAGUGUGUCAGCUAAGAAAGCAAGCUAGACUACCAUUUCCUACUAAUAAGGCCUAGAGGGCCUCUAAAAAAUUGCAAUUUGUCCACACUGAUAUGUGCGGCCCUAUAAAGACUGAAUCUUUGAAUGGCAGCAAGUAUUUCAUCAUUUUCAUUGAUAACUACUUAAGAUUCUGUUGGGGCUAUUUUCUCAAGUAUAAAUCAGAAGUAGCUUCAGUGUUUUCAAAGUUCAAGGCUAUAACAGAAACUCAGUCAUGGUGCAAGCUUAAGACACCAAGGUCAAACAAUAGGACAGAAUACACCUCAGCAGUGUUUCAGACCUUUUGUGAGGAAUCAGGCAUUGAACACCAACUCACCAACACCUAUACACCUCAGCAGAAUGGUGUUAGUGAGAGAAAGAAUCGAACUCUGAUGGAUAUGGCCAGAUGCUUGUGUUUGAAAGGAAUUUGCCAAAAAGCUUUUGGGCUGAGGUAGUUAGUACUGCAAUAUACCUUCAAAACAGGCUACCAACUAAACCACUGCUUGAAAAAACACCAUUUGAAGCUUGGUUUGGGUUCAAACCAUCAGUUUCUCACUUGAAGGUCUUUGGUUGCAUAUGUUAUGCACAUAUUCCUGUAGUCAAGAGGGACAAAUUGGAAAAGAAGUCUCAGCCUAACAUUCUAGUUGGCUAUAGCAAUGUCAAGAAGGGCUAUGAGAUUCUGGAUCCUACAACUUACAAAGUCUUUUUGAGUAGAGAUGUUGUGUUUGAUGAGAGAUCAAGCUAGAAUUGGGAUAAAAGUGAACCAGAAUGUGCUGGUCAAGACUUGGUGACAGGGCAAACCGAAGCUGAUAAAAAAUGUCCUAAGAUGGACAUAUAUCAUGAGCCUGUUAGGGGAACUAGACCACUAAGUGAAAUAUAUGAGAGGGAAAAUGUAACUAUUAUUGAGCCAAUUUGUUUUGAAGAAGCUCAAGCUCAAGAAGGCUAAAGGCAAUCCAUGCUUGAUGAAACGAGCAUGAUUCACAAAAACCAGACCUUAGAGUUAGUUGCAAGACUAGUUCACAAGAAGGUCAUUGGAGUAAAAUAGGUGUUUCAAGCCAAGCAUAAUACUAAUGGAACUUUGAACAAGCUAAAAGCAAGGUUGGUUGUGAAGGGGUUUUGUCAGAAAUAUGGGAUUGACUACCUUGAAACAUUUGCACCAAUGGCAAGGCUUGAUAUAAUCAGAUUAUUGGUUGCAUUAGCUGCUCAAAGGUAAUGGAAAAUACAUCAACAUGACGUAAAAUCUAUCUUCCUCAAUGGAUUUCUUGAUGAGGAGAUAUAUGUUGAACAACCAGAAGGUUUUAAAGUUGCUGGUGAAGAAGACAAAGUUUACAAGCUAAAAAAGGCCUUCUAUGGCUUAAAAUAGGCACUAAGGGCAUGGUAUGACAGAAUUGACACGUAUCUAGCAAGCUUGGAGUUCGAGAGAAGCAUUAGUGAGCAAACACUAUAUGUAAAAAAGGAAGGUGAUGAAACACAGCUCAUAGUCUCCUUGUAUGUGAAUGACUUACUGGUAAUAGUAGGAAAUAACGCUAUGCUGUCUGAAUUUAAAAGCAAGAUGGAGACUGUGUUUGAAAUGUCAGAUUUGGGUGAAAUGUCCUGCUUCCUUGGCAUGGAAGUGUCUUCGACUCAACAAUGAAUUUUCUUAAGCCAAAAGGCAUUUGCCUUGAAAAUUCUGAAUAAAUUCUCCAUGCAAAAUUGCAAGGCAACUAGCACACCAGUUACUGUUGGAGAAAAAUUAUCAAGCCAAUGUGAUUUCGAGAAAAUGAAUGAAUCAACCUAUAGGAGCCUAGUGGGAUGUUUGCUUUACUUAACAGCCACAAGGGCAGGCAUAAUGUAUGCAGUUAGUCUCAUAUCUAGGUUCAUGCACUGUUGCAAUGUGAACUACUUUCAAGCUACAAAGAGAGUCCUCAAGUAUAUUAAAGGCACUCUGAGCUUUGGGAUGAUGUUUACCUAGGUUGACAGCAUGAAGCUCCUUGGUUUUGCUAACAGUGACUAGGCAGGAUUGAUAGAUGACAUGAAAAGCACCUUAGGGUAUCUGUUUACCCUUAGUUCAGCUGUUUUCUAUUGGAGAUCAAAGAAACAGUACAUUGUAGCUCAAUCAAUAGCUGAAGCAGAAUAUGUAACAGCUGCAGAGUAAUUUGGUUAAGGAAGAUCAUGGUAGAUAUAAACUUGCAUCAAAGAGAAGCAACAUAGAUCAAAUGUGACAACCAAUCUGCUGUUGCAAUUGCAAAGAAUCCAGUGUUUCAUGGGAAAACAAAGCAUUUUAAGAUCAAGUUGCAUUUUGUUAGGGAAAUGGAACAAUCUCAAGAAAUCAGACUGGUUUAUUGCAGUUCUGAAGAUCAGUUAGCAGAUUUCUUGACAAAGCAUCUUUGUGUGUCAAGGUUCAAGAAUUUGAGAGCCAAGUUGGGAGUUUGCAGCAUGGAAGCCAAGGAGGACUAUUAGAGGUUGGCUUACAUGCAGCUCUUGAGAUCGGGCCAUGCAAUUAGCAGCUAAAGCACAUGCAGCUGUCAUUUUGAUGUUUUUGAUGAUGUCUUGUUUUAGUUACAAUUGAACUAAGUUUGUAAUGAAUUUGUUGUAAUUUGGUGCUGAUAGAUUUGAUAAAUCAACUUAACCAAGCGUGCAAGCAAUGUUUUAUAAGUUUCAAGACAUUGUUAGUAGAGUUAGGUGUGUUUAGGUGACACUUUCAUGAUUUUGACAAAUUAAUUACUUGUUAUAUGUAAUGUUUGGUGUUUCAGUUGAUCAAUGAAUCACUUUUUAUCAAAAUUCUUGUUUCUGCUUUAAUCCAAGCUAUCUUUUCUUGUUCUUCUAGCCCGUGUUUCUUCUUUUGUUCAGCAAGUCACUAUUGCUUAAAGCUUAAGACUUUGCUGUAAUUGCUUAGUGAUAAGUCUCAAGUCCAACACAUGGUUUGUUGGUGGGAGUUUAUUUGUUGUCAGGUUUUCUAUGUUAUGGUUCCUGGUUUGUUGUUUGAUGAUUCGAUGGAUGGACGCAGAAGUUGGAGAAAAGAUAGAGUAUAAAUUGAGACAAAAGAUAAAAUAGUAAAGGCCAUUCUGUUUUAUUUUUCCAUAAUAUUAUACAAACAGUCAACCAUGUAUAUACACAUAGCACUGACAUGAUUGUGAAGGCCUACACACUUUCUAAUGGUUGUACUGGCUAUCAAAAUUUAUUACCAUAACAGUAGUAAAGGUAAUGCAGCAGCAGGCAGCACAUUAUUAUUUAAUUUUGAUAGCCUUAGUUACCAGCAUAGCUUGAUGAAGAAGCAAAGGCAGUUAUGCCUCUAACUCAAAUGAUGCCUUCAUUGUGGGUGAACGACUCACGGGAUCAAUUUCAAUAGAUGCAAUGUACCCAAACUUUGUAACUUUAAAUUUUGGUUUUCCUCUUUUCUCAAGGUUGGUUUUGAUUUGCCCCCAGUGAAUAGGUUGCCUUUGGAUAUCAGUAUAGACCUGCAGCAUGCACGCAAAUGGCAUGCAAAUGGUCAUAGAUUAAAUGAUUAUAUAUACGCAUUCUAACUAGUUAAUUAAUGAUAAGAUUGAAUUGAAUGCAACAAAUACCUUGCUGUUCUCAUCUAGUGGGUUGCUCCAGGCAACAACCCACUUGGUUCCAUCACGUCGCCUGUACACAAGACCAGCAACUGAACCAUGACUAUCAGCAUCAUCAGUCACUGAUUCAUGUGUAAACUCACUCGAAUCUCCAUCUUCAAUUAUUUCUGGGAAAUCCGCAUAAUGAGAGCCUUGCCAAACUUUCUUGUCAGUCAAGGUUAGAGCUUCGCUGGAAGAGUUCCAAAGCUUGCCGUUUGUGCAUUGUUGAGCUCUUUUCAUUUGAAAAUUAGCCAUGGUAGCUUUGUAUGUGCUUUGGUUAGCUAAAGUUUGUUUUGGUUGUGUUAUGCUUCAAAUAUUGCAAUACACACCUACUUAUAUACUAGUUUACACCAUGCAUGCAUUGUCCAUAACAACAACGUUUAUGCGCAUGAAAUUAUUUGACUUCAUUCACAUUAAAACUUUUUUAUAUUCUUUUUCCCUUUUUUUAUUCAUAUUCUUGAUGUGUCUUUUCACUUUUAAGUACAAAUUCUUGUCAAUUAAAGAAAUAUUUUUAAAGUAUUUGGAUUUUUUUGAUAAAGUAUUAUUUUUUAAAUUAAAUAAUUAACAAUAUAAAGGUAAACUACUUCCAUUAUGAUCUAAACUAUUAGUAAGUUUAUGUUUUGGUUACUCAAUUUAAAAAAACAAACUACAAAUUGAAUAUUAAACUAUUCAAAAAUUUUAUUUAAGUCACUGAGCUAUUAAAGUUAUUGUUGUAUGGCCUUCUCUAUUUGCACCACCUGUAUCUAUCAAAAGUUCUCAUUCCCCUUCUCUUCUACAAUUCACUUUCUUCUCAAGAAAUAACUUUUAACCUCGUGAAUCUGCGAACCAAAAUUCAAACAAAUUUUUUCUCCCAUCACUGACAUUGAUAGUCAAAUCAACUUGGAUCUAAAAUAUGUUCUACUACUUGUCAAUGGUUUUUGAUCCACCAUACCGAUCAUUAAAUCAUUACUUGAAGCUUGCUAGCAGGACUUUAAAAUAAAACUUUAAUAACCUAGUGACUUCAAUAAAAACUUUCAAAUAGUUCAAUGACCAUUUUAUAAUUAUUUAAAAUUGAAUAAAUAAAAGUUAAAUUUACUAAUAAUUUAAUAUGAAUAAAAUAUAAUUGUUGGGGACUCAAACUAAACUCACAUCACAUAAUUAAAUAAAUAAUUUCAGCGGAUGUAUUACAUAAAAAAAUUAGUACAUAAUAAAAAAAGUCAUCUCAAAAUUAAAAACUUCAAAAAUAUACUUAAAUCUUAAUUAUAUAUUUUUAAGAAUUAUUGAAAUAAUUUUCUUUUACUAACUAGUGUCAGUUGCUAGUACUUACACAACUCCAUGUACAUCAUUAUCCUGGUAACCUAAUAGUCACCAAAGCAUAAGUAUACAUAUAACUAGCGCGACUUAAACUCAAGCUACAAUUGAGAUGAAUACCUUUAACCAUCAAGCUAUUAUAUGAGAUUCAUAUUAAAUUUUAAUAUGUUAAUGAUAUGUUUGAAAUAUUUUUUAUAUUGAUACUGUAUUCAUAUUAAUAAUUAAAUAACUUUAAAUGUAAUUUAAUUUUAAUAACAUCAACCAUUUUUUCAUUAAACUUUGAAUCCCUUUGAAAAAAUAGUGAUUUGUGUAUUAAGCAUAAAUUUUUUGUUGGAAAAAAAGGGAAUAAAUUUUUUGUUGGAAAAAAAGGAAAAAAACUUUGCAUUUGAGAUGCUGAAAGGCUAAGGUAUUAAAGCAAUGAGACUUUUAGUAUGGAAAUGAAUUUUGUUAUAUUAUAAAAUAUGCUUGAAUGGAAAGUUUUGUUUUUAUUUUCAUUAUAACAAACUAAAAUGAAUUAAUAUAUUAACUAAUAAACAUGGCUAUCAAAUUGUUAAUUGAUUGGACCACUAGAGGUUCUUCUGCAUUCUUAUGAUGUGAUUCUGGUGUUUAGCUUUGUCUGAUGUUACUCCUUUGUUAUGUUGGAUCCUUGGAAUUUGCCUCAUGAUUUUUCUCAAACGCAUAAUAAAUUUUACUUAAUUUUUCGUCAAUUUAUAUUAAAAUAGAUAAAUAAAAGUUAAUAUCUGUUAACUUUGCUGAUAUCACACAUACGUGAAUGACGCAUUAACAAUAAAUUAAUAUUUUAAAAUUUCAAAAUUUAAAAUUAUUAAAAAAGUAUAUAAUAUAUUUUUAAUCUUUUAAAAAUUAAUCAAUUGCUAACGUAGUAUACAUGUGGCAGUCCAUGUAGACUGACGUUAACAAAUAAUAUAAGUUCAAAAAAUAAAAUAGACAAAAAUUUAAGUAGAAAUUUAAAAUAAUUUUUUUAUAAAAUUAAAAAGUCAAAUAAAUAAUUAAAAAAAACACGUAGAAACAUACAAGUAACAAUUUCAACAUUGAAGUUAUCUCUACAGAAAAUACGGAUCUGUAUAUUCUUAUUCAACCAUGAAUUCAAUAUAUAAUUUUUAACUUUAAAUAUGAGAUAAUAUUUGAUGCAUUGUUAGUUUUUAAGUUUUAUGUACCAUCAAUUAAUAAUAUGAAACAUCAUUACUGGUAUAAAAUAAAAAGUAUUGAAAGACUUGAAAAUAAAUACAUUUAAUUUUAUUUUUUUAUUUAAACAUAAUUAAAUAUUAGCUAUAAUUUUUAUUGAUCUUUCGGAUUUUAGAUUCCAAUUUCUUUUGGGUUUUUAUUGGAAAAUAUGGACAUCACAUACAUAAUAAGGAUAAUUGAUAGGUUAGCCUAAAUUAAAACUGAUCUAAUUUGGUUAGAAUUUUAUUGGGUUUUAAUUAUUAAAUAAAGUAUGGGUUAAAUAUGUGUAGAUACUCUAGUAAUUGAGUUCUAAUCAACUUCUAAUUAGAAUUUGAUUAGAAUUAAUAUGCCAAGGUCAUAAAUAUUAGGGUUAUGGUUCCCAAAUUAUACACAAUAUAUCUUUUCUAAUAUCUCAUCAUUAGGAAAGAGAGAGUAGAUAUUUUCUGAAUUUCUUGUGGAUCAAAUCCUCAAGAUAUGGUAAAAAUUUAAGGAAUUCAUGGAUUCAAGUAUGCUUCCGCAUGUAGUUUUGUUCUUGAUUUAUUCUUGAUGAUUUGACAUGAUAGAUCCUGGUUUAUUCAGUUUUAUUUUAGAUUUAUUUUAUAAAUCUAAUAAGUGGCAUCCGAGCCUCGUCAUGUUGACUCAUUAAGAACGAAUUAAUUCUCUAUUUUUUUUGAUUCAUUUAUUUUUUAGAUUUUAUGAAUUUAUUAUCUCAAUUAUAAACAUUAAAUCUUUUAAAUUUAUAUUAAAUAUUUUAGGGUUUGAAAUAGAAAUUGGGCAAGUGAUAAUGCUUAUGAGGAUUUAUGUUGAAAUUUUAGGGUUUUAAAUUUUUUUUAUGAAUUUGGUUUUUGAGGAAAUUGUUGUGUGAAUCAAAUUAUAGUUUAUUUAUAUUUUUAGAUUAAAGUUUUGUUAAAAGUUGAUAUUGAUGCUUGCGUUUCAUUACGAAAUCAGACACAUUGAUUUUUCUUUAAUAAUUAUGCAUCUAUUUAAAAUAUAUAUAUAGAAAUUGAUAUAUGUUUCGUUUAUAUAUAUAUAUAUAAUAUGCAUGCUUUAAUUGGUUUAAUGCAUGUUGUUUUGGAAAAUUAUAUAAAUAUAUAUGAUUAUCUUUUAAUUUGAUUGAAAGAUGAAAUUAAGGUAAAUACUUUGAAACAAAUAAAUUCAGAUUUUAGCUUUUAAUUAAGGAUGUCUACUAUUUUAAAUAAAUUAGUUGAAAUAAAAUGCCACCAAAAUGACAUCUUUUGUGUAGAUUAGUUUAUUUGAAAUAUUAAGAUGAUUAUAUGUUUUUAUGAUUCAUGCGUUUAUUGAUUGACCCAAAGUUAAAUUAAUAUUUGACAGAAUUUCAACGACAUAUGUGGUGAUAAAUGUGUGACAAUUUUAAGGUAUUUUAUGUGAGCAAUAAGUUAGUCCAAAGAUUAAUUCACGGUUUGACAUAAUUUAUUGUCAAUGUUUGAUUGCUACAACAAGAGUACCGCUUACUGUUAAUAUUACUGUCCAAAGCUUUGAUAUUAAUGUUGUGUUUGGUAUCUUGUGAUGGGAUUAGUCAUUAUCUUGAAUUUAUUAUUUACUUAUGAAUAUUGAUUUAAGCUUGUUUUUGUUCUAUAUUUAGCUAAUUCAUCUUCUACUGCCACAAUAUCUGCUAAUAUAAAUUCUAUACCUAUGCUUAAUAGGACUAAUUUUAAGGAAUGAAAAAGGAACUUACUUAAAGUGCUUGGUUGUAUAGACAUAGACCUUACACUAAGGGAAGAACAAUCUGCACCUCUCACUGUGGAAAGCACCCCUGGUGUUAAGAGGGAUUUUGAGAGGUGGGAUCGUUCAAAUCGCAAGAGUCUAAUGAUCAUGAAACACAGCAUUUUAGAAGCUUUUAAGGGCACAUAAUCUGAAAGAUUACUCAGGCCAAGGGUUUCAUUGAUGAAAUUGAAAAAUCUUUUGCUAAAAAUGAUAAGAUUUAGAUGACAUCACUUCUGACUUCUUUGAUGUUUAUGAAGUAUAAAGGUCAAGGAAACGUAAGGGAGUACAUUAUGAAGAUGUUCCAUACUGCUUCAAGACUUAAGACACUUAAGAUCAAACUUUCUGAGGAAUUGUUUUUUCUUAUGGUUUUGGUAUCGCUUCCUGCCCAGUUUAAUCAAUUUAAAAUUAGUUAUAACUGUCAAAAGGAGAAAUGGAUCCUAAAUGAGUUCAUUUCUCAUUGUGUGCAAGAGGAAGAAAGGUUGAAGGAUGAUAAGUCUAAAAGUGUUCAUUUGGCCAAUGCCCCUAAAGAUAAGGGCAAUAAAAGAAAAUAUCAGAAUAAAGCUGCUAAAGGUCUAGCUCAAAAGAAACAACAAGAAGCUAUAGAGAGUUGUUUCUUUUGUAACAAGUCUGGACACGUAAAGAAAGAUUGUACCAAAUAUCAUGCUUGGCAUGCAAAAAAAGGUAUAAUUCUUAAUUUGGUCUAUACUGAGAUUAAUUUAGCUUUAAUACCUAGAAACACUUGGUGGAUAGAUUCUAGUGCUACUACUCACAUAAGUUUUUCUAUGUAGGGUUGCCUAAGUUACUGAAAGCCAAGUGAUGGUGAAAGACACAUCUUUGUGGGCGAUGGAAAAUCAGUAGAAGUGGAAGUGAUUGGGAAUUUUAGGUUGUUACUAGGAACUGGUUUUUAUUUGGAUUUAAAAGACACUUUUAUUGUACCGUCAUUUAGACAGAAUUUAGUUUCUAUUUCUUCGUUGGACAAAUUUGGAUAUUAUUGUUCAUUCAAAAACAAUCAAUUAAUUUGUCUUUAAAUUCAAAUGUUAUUGGAACUAGUUAUUUAAAUACUUAUGACAACCUUUAUUUUCUAGAAACAGUUGCAUCCUAGAAUGAAACCUUGCAUGUGGAAUCACAUGGUAUUAAACACAAAUUAAAUAAGGAAAACUCAUCAUCAUUAUGGCAUAGGUGCUUAGGUCAUAUCUCAAAAGUUAGAUUUGGAUACCUUGUGUUUGAUGGAAUUUUAGAGUCCCUUGACUUCACAGACUUUGAUGUAUGUGUUGAUUGCAUUAAGGGAAAAUAGACCAAAACCAAGAGAUUAGGUGCCAACAGAUCUUCAGACGUCUUAGAAUUAAUUUAUACAGAUAUUUGUGGGUCAUUCCCUAUGGCAUCCUAGAAUGGUCAAUAAUAUUUCAUAACAUUGAUAGACGAUUAACCACGUUAUGGGUACCUAUAUCUCAUUCAUGAGAAAUCUUAGUCUUUGGACAUGUUCAAAGCUUAUAAAGCUAAAAUUGAGAAUCAACUCAAAAAAAGGACUAAAAAUGUCAGAUUAAAUCGUGGUGGUGAGUACUACGGUAGAUAUGAUGGCUUAGGAGAACAAUGUCUAGGACCAUUUGCGAAAUUCCUAGAGAAAUGCAGUAUUGUCCCACAGUACACCAUGCUAGGAUCAUCUAGUAUGCCUGGUGUAGCUGAAAGAUGAAACAUGACUCUUAAGGAUAUGGUAAAGAGCAUGAUUGCUCAUUCUACCUUACCUGAGUCCCUCUGGGGAGAAGCAUUAAAGAUAGCAGCUUACAUUCUAAAUAGAGUACCGAAUAAAGCAGUUGCAAAAACACCUUAUGAGCUUUGGACAGGUCAAAAACCUAGCCUAAAGCACUUUCACACUUUGGGAUGUCUAUCUGAGGCAAGGCCUUAUAGGCUACAUGAAAAGAAAUUGGACUCCAAAACAGUAAGCAACUACUUUAUUGGUUAUUCUGAGCGAUCUAGGGGCUAUAAAUUUUAUGAUCCCAUAAUAAGGAAUAUUUUUGAGAUUGGAACUACAACAUUUUUUGAGGAUGUUGAGUUCGGGGAGAAAUAAGGUUAGAGACAUUGCUUUUGAGGAAGAAUUGGGUUCUAACUCAAUUCCUACUAUCUUUUUUUAUGAUUUUUAGGUUCUUAUACCUAUCAUUGAUCAAGAAGUGAAUCUAGAACCUCUAUAAGACAAUGUUGAACAACUCCUCAUUCAAAAUGAGGUGAUUGUUCCAGAAGAACAAACUCAACAACCUCAAGAACAAGUGUCAUUAAGUAGGUCUACAAGAGAAAGGAGAAAUGUUAUUCCAGAUGAUUAUAUUGUAUUUCUCUAAGAACAUGAGGAUGAUAAUGGAAUGAUGGAAGAUGAUACAAUCAACUUUCAUCAAGCCAUGAAAAGUUCUAAUUCUCAAAAGUGGAUUGAUGCCAUGAAAGAUGAGUAUAAAUCUAUGCAAGACAAUAAAGUUAGGGAACUUGUCCCAUUACUUGAAGGUGCAAAACCAAUUGGUUGUAAAUGGAUAUUUAAAACCAAGAGGGAUACAAACGGUAAUGUGGAGAGGUAUAAGGUGCGUCUUGUAGCUAAACGAUAUACUCAGAAACAAGUUAUUGAUUUUACAGAGACUUUUUCUCUAGUUUCAUCAAAACACUCCUUCAGGAUAAUCAUGGCGCUUGUUGCUCAUUUUGAUCUUUAGUUAUAUCAGAUGGAUGUUAAGACUACGUUUCUUAAUGGCAACAUUGAAAAAAUAAUUUAUAUGGUGCAACCAGAAAAUUUUGAGUCGGAAGAUUCAAAGAAUAUGGUUUACAAAUUGACAAAAUCCAUUUAUGGACUCAAACAAGCUUCCUUUUUAUGGUACCACAAGUUUCAUCAAAUAAUUAUUUCGUUCGAUUUUGAGAUGAAUAUUGCUAAUAAUUGUGUGUAUCACAAAUUCAAUGGGAGUAAGUACAUCUUUCUGGUUCUUUAUGUUGAUGACAUUUUGCUUGCCGCUAAUGAUAUAGGCUUAUUGCACAAAACCAAGAGGUUUUUAUCUAAGCAUUUUGAGAUGAAAGAUCUUAGGGACGCCACUUUUGUUUUAGGAAUUCAAAUACAUCGAGAUCGAUCUUGAGGUAUUCUUGGAUUAUCACAAAAGAUUUAUAUCAAUAAAGUACUCAAAAGGUUUGGCAUGCGGAGUUUUAGACCAAGUGACACCCCUGUUGCUAAAGGAGACAAAUUUAGUCUUACUCAAUGCCCUAAAAGUAACCUUGAAAUUCGGGAAAUGAAAAAGAUUCCCUAUGCAUCAACUAUUAGGAGUUUAAUGUAUGCUCAAGUAUGUACGCGUCCGGACAUUGCAUACAUUUUUGGGAUGUUAGGCAGAUAUUUAAGCAACCCUGGUAUAGACCAUUGGAUAGUAUCCAAAAGGGUUAUGAGAUAUCUUCAGAGAACAAAAUAUUACAUGCUUACUUAUAAGAGAUCAGAUUUUUUGGAGGUUGUAGGGUAUUCUGAUUCUGAUUUUGUCGGGUGCCAAGAUAGUAGGAAAUCUACAUCAGGCUAUAUUUACCUAUUAGCUGAAGGAGCUAUAUCUUGGAAAAGUGUCAAACAGACACUUGUAGCUUCGUCCACUAUGCAGUAGAGUUUGUAGCAUGCUAUGAGGCAUCAAACCAUGGAAUAUGGUUGCGAAACUUUGUCACAGGGAUGCACAUUUUGGAGAAUGUAGAAACAACACUCAAAUUAUUUUAUGACAAUAAGUCAGCAGGGCUGUACAUGAGUUCAUCUAAGUCAAAGCAUAUUAACAAAAGUUUCCAUCUCUUUAUUCAUUUUUAUAGGCUUUACUUUUGUUAGGAUUUGUCUUUCAACAAAAUCAAUUUCAUAUGGUAAUGUUACUUCAUGCUUUUUCCUAUUCCAAAAGGCAUUAGAGAUGUUAGAAUAUAUUGUUGACUCGAUUUCUGUUUUGAUUUGAUUUAUUCUUUUUUGAUCUUUUGUUUUUUCUAAUUGUUCAUUUAAUUUUUUUAAAACAUAUUUCUUCUUUAAGAAUAAAAAAUUAUUCUAUUUAUGAUUAAUUAAAUUAUUGAUUCGUAAUGAAUAAAAAUGUUAAUAAGUUAAGAUUUUUAAUAUUGUGAUUUGUUACUUUGUAAGGUUUGAGUAAAGAUAUAAAGGGGUUCCUAAUAUAAUGUCUUAGGUAAUAUCUUUUAUCAUUAAAAAACAUGUUUGAUGUUUGAUAUCUUUAUUACAAAUUUCUACAUUAGGGAUUUUGAUAUGUGUCUUGAUUUUCCACAUCUAUAACAUUUUAUCGUUUUAUCUUUUUUUUUCGAUUUUUGUUGUUUCUGUUAUUUACUAUAUUUCCUAUACUUUGAUUUUUUUUAUAAUAUUCUGAAAUAUUCUUUCAUAUAUUUUUUCAUUUUAUAGGGAAACAUGUUUUUGAAGAAGAAGGUUCAUUUCUAAUGUCAAAUUGGUGGCAGAAUGAUAGGCAAUGGUAGCAAUUUAAAAAUUCUCAUAGUAGAAACCCCUUGUAGGAAAUAAGAAAAUAAAAUGAUGUUUCCUUAGAGAACCAAUUCUUCUACAAGCUUUACCUCUAACCAAUACCAAGAGUUUGAUCAAACCUCAAACAACAAUGUUAAUGAAUAAGAACAUUAUGAAAAUGUUCACCGAUGUAUACUAUUUUUAAACCCUUCAAAUUUUUAUUUUACACUAGUAAUAAUGUGUCAUUUUAUUAUCACUUGAUGGUACAUAAAAUCUAUGCACCUAUGGUUAGGGGUGAACAAAGCUCGAUUCGAUUUGAAAAAAUUGAAAAAAAAAUCAAAUUUUGAGUAAUUCGAGUUUCGAGUUCGAGUCGAGUUGAAUUUUACAAUUCGAAUAAUAGAUUGGUGUAAAUACCCCUUUAAUCCAUGUCAAUUUUGAAAAUGAGCAAAUUGAUCUCUCUCAACGAAAAAUACAAAAUAACUCAAAAUAAUUUUUAAAAUUCAAAAUAUUUAUAAAAAUUCCAAAAUUUAUAUUUUUAAAAAAUAAAAAUAUUUCUAAAAAAUAUAUAAAGAAAUUUAAAAUUUUAUUUUUUUCUAAAAUAAUAAAUUUAGAGACCUAAAUAAGUUAAUUAAUGAUUCAAGUUUAUAAUUCUAAAGUAUCUUAUUAUUAUUAUUAUUAUUAUUAUUAUUAUUAUUAUUAUUAUUAUUAUUAUGCUUUGAAAAAGUUUUCAAAUAUAUAUAGUUUCAAUUGUAGGUGUUCUAGCAUUAAAUUAAUUAUACUAUAGCAAAAUUUUAAUUUGAUAUAUUUAAUUUUUUAAUUAACUGAACAAUUUCACUUGAUUCGAUUCGACUUGAAUUUCAUUUCACUCAAUUCAAUUUGAAAAAAAUUAAUCAAAUUAGAAUGAUAAAAUAGGAUUUAUCAACUUGAUUAACUUGAAUUUUUUUUACUAGAUUCAAUCGAACGCUAACCCCUACCUACGGUACAUUAAAUAUUCUCCCUAUAUUAUUAUUAUUAUUAUUAUUAUUAUUAUUAUUAUAGUUUUGGCUUUAUUUUAUUUGCACUUUGUAAUGACGUGAGAUAUUUCUAAGAUUACAAAUUAUUAUUAUUAUUAUUAUUAUUAUUAGCCAUAAAAACAUAAAAACUUUAAUUAUAUCAGAAAAUACAAAAAGUUAUGGUAAAAAACUUGACUCAGAAGUACAAGAGAGCCACAACUACCUCACUGUAAAACUAACUUCAAUAUCAGUUCGAAGGGGGAGUAGGAAAUUCAUCCUUGUCAAGAAUGAACACCAAAGAAGUUGGUGGUUGUCAAGUCCAACCUGUAACGCCUUGAAUAGUUUAAAUAUAUUUUUGUGAAAUUUGACAUAAAGGUGUAUUUGCUCAGUAGUUAAGUGUUUUAGGUGUGUGUAUCAGGUCUUGGGUUCAAGUCUCAUAUUUGGGGAAAAAAUUUAUUAUUAUUUAUUCAAGCAUUAUCCCUGUUAGGCAGGCUUAUAAAAUAUUGUUUGUUAAUCUAUAUCAAAAUGAGCCUGCUUGUUUGAGUGGUAAGGACUUAGUGUAUUGGAGGUCUUGUGUUUGAAUCUGUGCGUGAGUGUGAGUGUUAAUUUUUAUUUCUGUUGCCUGAUAGAGGUUCGGUGGAACUGGAACUCUGAGGUUGUUGGAUGAGAAUCUGAUGUCAGUUUUGGUGGGAUUUGUUGUUAGUGGGUUAGUCGGGGGAGUUAGGAUUUUCGUUAAUUUUGAUUUAUUUUACUUUUUUUUUAAAAUUUUUAUCUUUUCCCAAAAACCUCUCCCCUUUUUAAUUUUUUUUGUUUCCCACUAUCAAUUUUCUUUCUUUUUCAUCUUAUCGAUUUCUAUCUUCAUCUCCCUGUUAAAUUACAGUGCUUCGAUUCCCUUUUUUUGUACGUUUGGUAAGUGGUGGUAGUAAGGUUUUUGCUUGAGUUAAGGAGAAUUCUUUUAAAUCCGUUUAAAAAUGAUGUUGUCUUUUUCAUUAGUUCUAAUUUUUGGGUUGUUGGCAGCAGCGAAUCGGCAGGAUCGGAGCUCUCUUCUUGUGGAAUCGUAAUAUCGAGGAUCAUUCGGGAAGUUGGGUAAGUAAUGAACGCUUGGGUCUCGCUGUGAUCAAUUUAUUAUUUUGAUUUAAUUGAGGAUGCAAGACUAAUUUUGGGACGUGCUUUGUCGAUUUUUAGGUUCUUGUGGUCUCAGGAUUGUUUUCACAGCAAAAACAAACCAGGUGUGCACCUUAAACACGAAAAUUGAGGUUCGAAAAAAGCCGAAAAAUUGCACUGUUGACGCCACACGGGUGUGCACCCAGCUGUAUGGUUGGCCAUGUAUAAGACACAGUCGUGUGACUGACGAAGAUGUGGCCGUGCACAUGACACGACCUUGUGUCAGUGUGAGUGUAGUCGUGUGGGCCACACUAGCUAAGUCAGAUUGGGCGUGUGGGUUUAGGGUCAGGCCAUGUAGGCCACAUGAGCAAGGCCAAUCUAGGAGUGUGGGCCUACGUGGGCAGGCCACAUAGGCAUGUAGGCCCAGAAUUUUGAAAUUUUCCCUAGGGUCGCACGGGUCGUUUCGAUUGACUGUGGACCUACUGUAAGGUCGGUAAAGGCUAACCAAACCCUAAUUCAUGUGAUCUGAUAUUUUGAUAAUCUGAUUUGAGUAGGACAUUGAUAUGUAUGUAUGACUGUUCUGUUUGAGUAUAUAUAUAUGUUAUCUGUAUACAAGCAUGUUAGGCAUGUUAAUUCUGCUAAUUUUGAAUUUUGUAUCUGUGUUUGGGGAGAGAUUUGUAUAUGUAGAGGAAGUGAUCUAUAUGGCGACAUUUCGCCUAUAUUCUGGUAGAUCGACUACAUAUUAUCUAUGAUAUGUCGCAUCGACACUAUAUGGUAUGUAGGGAUGGUUGGGUAUUUUUAACCCCAUAUGAUGUGAUGGGAUGGAUGGAGAUGGUGUGUAGAGGAUGGGUGUAACGCCUUGAAUUUUACACCCAAAAGUUUAGAGAUUUGAGCAUAGGGGCAGUGGGGAGACUGCACAUAAAUGAUUAGUUGUGCACUCAAGUGACAAGAAUGGGCCUGUUGGUCUGGUGGUUAAGUGAGUCUUAGCAUACCUUGAAGAUCCGGGUUCGAGUUACGGGAGGCAUUUUUUUUUAGAGUCAUUGUUUUAUUUUUGUUUGUUUUAGUUAAUAAAUAUUUAGCUAUUAUAUUUUGUAAUUGUAUAUUGCUAUUUUUAUUUUUGUUUUGGACGUUCUUCUGUUUCUCUUUUUGGUUUUUGUUUCCCUUGCUUUUCUUUUUGAGGAUUAUUCGGAUUGCUUUUGAAAGUGAAUUGUCUAUGGAUUUUGGGAUUUGCACUCCUCCUUCGACUUCUUCGUCGUUGGGUCCAAUCACAACACAGGUGUGGGAUUCAAAUCUGGUUUACCUUUUCUUAUUAAUUGAUAUUUCAUUUUUUUGAAUUCCUUUCUUUCAGCUUUUCGUAACUAUACAUUAACCCCAUUCAUUUUUGGGUAUUGAGACAUUGUAAGAGAGGGGAAAGCACUAGUAUCUGAUGUACUCUUGGUGUGGUUAAGGUUAGGGACUAUUAUGGUGGCUUAAACGACGGUUUUGGACUAAUUUUGAGUGGUUUCGUGACCUCCCCGAUGACCACAUGGCUGUAUAACUCGGCACACGGCCGUGUGGAUUUAGGAACUAGGGUUUCGGGAUAAAUUGGGUACCAUACGGCCGUGUGGCUGAUUUGGGGAUUUUAUCAGAAUUCACACGAUCGUGUCCCUUCGGCACACGGGCGUGUGAGUUAGAGAAUUAGGGAUUUUGGAUUCGGAGUCAUAUGGAUGUGUGGUUGAUUUGAGGAUUUAAAGAUCCCACACGGGCAUGUGUUUCAGAACACAUGGCUGUGUCUGGUGGGCAUAUGGGCGUGUGAGACCCUCACACAGUAAUGUCUCCCCUGCACUUUAUUUUAGCGAUUUUUGACAAUGUUACAUGACCUGUUCACACGGCCGUGUCUGUAAUAUCCCGAAUUAGGGCCUAAUCGGAAUAGUGGUUUUGUGACCACAAAUCCGAGAUAGAAAUAAUUAUUUUAUAAUUAUUUUGAUGAUUAUGAUAUGAUUGCAUGAUUGUGUGAAAAUUUCGUGAUGAAAUUCUAUGCCUAAAGUGCUUAAAUUGAAAGUAAGGACUAAAUCGAAUAAGUUGCAAAACUUGCAUUCUAGAAGUUUUUUGUAUGAAAUUGUUUUGGAAUAUUAAUGAGGAGGUCUUAAAUAGCAAUUUGACCAAUUUUAAGUUCAUGGAAAAAAUUAGGACAUGGAAGGAAUUUUUGGAAAGUUUAGUAGUAAGGGUAUUUUGGUCAUUUAGUUAUUAAAAUGAAUUAAAAACAAAAUUAAAAGCCAAUUUUUGUCCAUCUUCUUCAUUAGGCCGAAAUUUCAAGGGUUCUCCAUAGCUAGGGUUUGUUUCAAGCUUCCAAGCUCCAUAGUAAGUGAUUCCAAGCCCCGUUUUUAAUGUUCUUUACGUUUUUGGAAUCCCGGUAGCUCGAUUAAGCUUAUGUUAGCAAUAAUUCAACCUAGGGUUUAUAUUUGGAAAAAUACCCAUAGGUGAAAUUUGUGUAUUUUGAUGUUUUAUGAUAGAAUAUGGGGUUUUAAAUUAUGUUAGACAACUUGUACUACUCGAUUUUAAGCAAAAACGAGUAAAAGGGCUUAAUCGGUAAAAAUACCUAAUAGUCACAAGUACAUGUUAGAGUGAGAAUUUGAUGUUGCCAUAGAAGAGAAAAGUGAUCAGCAUGUUGUAAAACAUAAGAAUAAGGAAUAAAGUUUAAUCCCGAGCCUAGGGGCAAAAAUGUAAAUAUGCAAAAGUUUAGGGGAAAAAUUGUAAUUUUGCCAAAAUUUGAGUUAAGGAUUAAUUUGAUAAUGUGGGUAUUAAAUGAGCUAAAUGUGUUAUUUUAGAUCAAGAAAGACGUGGAAUCGACCUCAAUCAAGGAAAAGAAAAGAUUGUGGACUAAAUUGCAAAAUCUUUAUAUUUUGGUACCAAGGUAAGUUCAUGUGUAAAUGUAGUAACAUAAUUGUCAUUUUAACCAAUUUAAUGUUGUUUAUAUGAUAUGAUGCUGAUUAUUAUCAUGAAAUAUUAUGCUUUGUGGUUAUUGUUGAAUAAUAUGUAAUUAUGUGAAUUACUUGAUGAGUAUGAACUAUCACCGAAGUACCGAUUUCGAUAUUCCGUGGAAGACGGCAAAGAUGUGUGAUCGAGGAAAACGCCCGUUUGAACCUUAGGAAUAGAUUAGGAUACAAGUGACAUGUCACUAGGAUGGUUGAGCAUCCAAACUCGUUGAGUUGAGUCCGAGUUCACUUAUGGAUGCGAAUGUCCGAACUCGUUGAGUUGAGUCUGAGUUCGUGAAAUGUAACUAGGCAUCCGAACUCGUUGAGUUGAGUCCGAGUUCACUUAUGGAUGCGAACGCCCGAGCUCGUUGAGUUGAGUCCGAGUUCACUUAUGGGCGGGUUACAUGGUAGCUUGAUUACAUAUGAGGCUCUUAUAUGCAAAUUAUCCAUGUAUCCGAAUUAUAUUCCGAUGUGUUCAACGGGUAAAGUUUUACUCAAAUAGAGGAAUACUCGAGAUGAAAAGAGACGUAUUGGUAAGUGAUGAGAAAUGGAUAUUUUGUACAGGUAUGUAUUUAACCCUCGGGUUGAGUGUUGAUUACAACCACGAUAAGGUAAUAAGAUGAUGGAAAAUGAUUAAAAAAUGUGAUAAGUGUGUUGAUGAUAUAUGCUAAUGUUGAUUAGUUUGAUUGUUUGUUAUGUUAUUUAUUAUUUACAUAUGAACUUACUAAGCAUUUAUGCUUACUCCCUCCUUCUUACUCAUUGUAGUUUUGGACAAGCCAGUUCAGGAGUCGGGAUAGGUUGAAGGCUCAGUCACACUAUCAGGAAGAUUUUUGGUAAAUGGCUUGUAAAUUUAAGUAUGGCAUGUAUAGCAAUAUACUUAUUUUGUGUAAAUGAUCUUAUGAUAUGGUGACAGAAUGGUUGAGAAAAUAUUUGAUAAUGAUAAAUUAUGAAAAUGGUAAGUUUAGAUUAUGUUUGAUGUUAAGGAAAACUAUUAUGAUACUUAGUGCAUAAAAACUCAUAAGAGGGAUGAAAUUUGCCAUAAACAGAAUACUGCAGCAACACUGACCCGAGUUUGAAAAUUUACUAAAAAUCAUAGCAAUUAAAUUUGGUGAUGGACUACAUAUCAAAUUUAAGCUUAUUAUGUCUAGUGUCACAUGAAACAAAUGAAACAGGUAAAGGAAUUAUAUGUUAGAAGAUAUUUGAAUUUUAGUGAAACAGGUUCAUAGCAGUUUCUGAAUCCCCUGCUCCUACUUUAGAAAUUCACCAUAAAUUUUAAAGAUAUAAUUAGGUGGUGUAUUUUAUAUCCUAAGAAUACUUAUUGAGUCUAGUUUUAGGAGAAACAAACCUCAUAGUCAUAUGAAUUUUUUACAUAGAGAAAUGUGGUUCAUAGUAAAUAGAGGUCAGACCAGUCAAGUCCUGAAAUAGGGGUAACUUUAACUAAUAAACUGUACUAAUUGGCCCAUUCAAAAAUUUUAUAAAAAAUUAGUAGAUAGGUAUAUGAGUCUAGAUUUAGGGAAAAUUUACGGAUCUUGAUUUCGAGUUUCGUAACUCGAGAUAUGAUUUUUCUUGUGACUGUGACGCAAGUAGCUUAAAAGCUGUGAAUAUAGAAACAAAUAAUCCAAAGUUCUAAAAAUGUUAAAUUAAGCUUAGUAACACCUCAUACUCGACUCCGGCGACGGUCUCGGGCGUGGGGGCGUUACAGUGUCCCCGCUUCACACAAGCGUGUGCCUCUAUCACACGGGCAUUUGGAUCACCACACGGCCUAGUUUGUCCCACACGACCGGGGCACACUGGCAUGUGGCCCUAUUUUGCUAGAUUUUGGUUUUAGGGCAAAUGUAAGUGCAAUUGGGACCUUGUAUGUUUCAACCCUUAGCUAAGCUUUAGUGAGGGUGUUUAGACUCUAAUCUGAGUUUGGAUAAUGUGUUAUUUGUGAUUGGUUGUGUGACAUGUUUGAUUCUGAACUUGGUUAGCUGGGUGAGUGUGUGAGCAACUAGUUCUAUCUGACUGUCUGACUACGUGUUAUCAAUAUGCGAGGUUAUUUUGUAAUUGAUACUGAACUCAAGUAAUGAGUGUGCACAUUUCUGAUUCUGAUUGACCAUAUAUGAGUGACUGUCUCUGGUUAACUAUCUGGAAAUUGAUAUUUUGAGUUUUGUGCAUCUGUCUGUAUACAUACAUUUGCAUGAAAUUGUUUUGGGUGGGACUUUGAAGAGAAGGAAGAUUGACUAAACUAAACUGUUAGCUAAUCUUUUGGUUAUUAGCCUUAAUACCCAGAGGGUUAUGGGCGGUCCCAAUACCCUGAGGGUCGUGGACAAUUUGACUGUACUGCGGACUACUACAUUAUACAGAACAUGCAUCAGUAUCGCUGCGUAUCAUUGACUGAACUAGAAGUUUUAUUACAACCUAAUAGUAUAGCGGUUUACCGUAUUGCGCUGUACCGCAUGUACGUUAGCUACGCUACGUACAACUAUUUGAUCUGGCAGUUUAUACUGCAUGUCUGUACCGCGGUUUAUCGCAUUGCAUGAUACAGCUUAUACUCUAGCUUUGCUGCAUAAUAUACGUGACUGGCAGUUUAUCUACAUACUGUUAGCCUCAAUACCCAGAGGGUCAUGGGUAGUCACAAUUCCUUGAGGGUCAAGGACAAUCCUGAUGGCCAAUGUUGCCGGAUAACCCGGGAUGACAUCAAUUGGAGUGCAGGGUUGGAUGGUCCUUACGAGGUCCAGAGUUGAGUGAUUGGUGGGAUGAGUUUAAAGCUCUUAUGAGGAGUAAUGAGGGACGAAGAGGUGUGUUGGCUAGAUAGGUGGGUUUCUCAUAACUCAAUUACAUUCAUAUGCAUCAUAUUGACUGCUCGACUGAAAUGUCUGAUUGACGGUUCGAUUGAAAGGCACUUGUGCCUAUGAGAAUUGUGUAGACUUUGACUGUAACUGUCUGACUAGAUAGUUCUUAUCACUGUUGAGAAUUACUGCUACUGUGCCUGAAUGGUACGUGAAACUGUGUGCGUCUGAUUGACUCAUAUGACUGUAAAGUAAUAUGGUGUAUGAUUGAUUUUGGGCGAAUUCGCUCAACUGUCAUCUGUCUGUCUGUAUGUUUUGCUUUUGAACUACUUCUAGUUCCCUAUUUUCGUUUUUGUAGUUUAAUUGGUUUGUUCUCACACUAAGCUUGAGUAGCUCACCCCCUCUUUUUUUUCCCCUUUUAGGUACAGUUUUGGAUUCUGUUGAUGGGAUCAGUACGCGAAGGUCUCAGACAGUCUCAGUGAAAGUGGAAUAUUAGUUUGUGAUUUUCAGUUUUUUUUUAUUCGUACUGUAAGAUUUUAUAAUAUUAUGGUACAAUUACUAUUUUAAACUUUUAUUCGUACAUGUUAUUCUCUUGUGGAUGGAAUUUUAAACAAUUAAACGUUUUGAUUUGUUUUAAGAUAAAAAUUGUCAGAAAUGGAAUUUUGAACGACUUGUUUUUGUAGAAAUCUUCUCAGGAUUGCUUUGGUGAUCAAUGUAGUAUUUCGAAUUCAGUCUUUACUUCUAGGCCGGGUUUGGGGUGUUACAAGGGGGGUAGGAUUCUGAAUAUCCAUUCUGUUUAUCUGAUUCUGAUAUCUGUAUCUAUUAUGGACUUAGGUCCGAAUCUGUAUCUGACUGUAUAUGAAAUAUGGUGUAUGUUACUUGGCUAUUUCUGUUGGGUUACACAGUGAGUUUACGAAAACUCACAUUUUUUUGUCUAUUCUGUUCAGAGGUAAUCUAUAGACUUAAGCGGGUUAGUGCGACAGAGGCUCAACAGUGACCACUUGACUGAGAUUUGUUUUUAUUUAGUAAUAAUGGUUUAUUUUAAAAUCUGGUUUUCUUAAGAGUUUGUAAUUUUUUGGGACUCUCUGGACUGUAUGAUUUUAACUUUUGGAUUUGGAUUUUGUUUUGUAUUUUUUUCCGCAAUGUUGACAAAAACACUAUGCAAACAAAUGGUUUUAACAAAUAGUUUUUAGAAAAACGAGCUUGGUUUUGUUUAAAAUGAUUUUGAAACUUCUACUUUGAAAUAAACAGUUAAUUUUAAAGAACAACUCAAAAUAGUUUUAGUAAUGUAUAUGUAUAAAUGAAUAUGUUAUAAUACCUAGAUGAUUUAACUAAUAACUAAACAUGAUUUUAUCGAAGUAUUUUCAGUUUCAAAACCCUUCAUCGUAACAUUCCUAGAUUCAGCCAUAACGUAUAGGCUGUGUUUGGGGUAUUACAUUUAGUGGUAUCAGAGCUAGGUUACAAAACUCAGGCUGUAAAUUUUGAGUUUCAAAAUUGUAUUUCAAAAAAGAAUUGGUUGAUAAUUUAGAUCAUUUUGAGUAAGUAUAUGGUACACCGAGUCUCCGGCGCCAAUACUCUAAGUAUCUCUAAAUUUAGAAAACACUAAAUUAGUACUUUUUAAAAUUGUACUAAGUUAGUUAGAGACUAAAGCCUCUGAAAUACUUCUGAACUUCUGAUAAAUUAAGUAUAAAAUAUCUGCUAAUAAAUACUGGAACUGAUGCAUAAAAUUCUAUAAUAUAGAUAAAAUUGAAAAUACGAUGAGCGCUCGUGGAACUCACGGUCGUAUUAUUUGUGGUUGUGGUGGGUGUCGUAGGAGGGCUCGAGCUAAGUAUUCUUCUCUGUGUAGUAUGCCAAAUUUAAACACAAGUGAGACACUAGUUUCACUUGCUAUUGAGACUGGGCCUCAAAGCCGCUCGGCGGGGGACGACGCAUUGUCCCAAGCCAUGUUGAGAGUAUUGGAGAGGGUCGUUGGACCCCAUUCUAGAUCUGGGGUUCGUAGGUCGGUAAUUGAAAUACUUCAGUCCAAUGAAGCUAAGUUGUUUAGGGGCGUCACUAGAGUCGCCCCUACUGUGGCUGAGUAUUGGUUAAAGGCCACUGAGAGGAUUAUGAACGACAUUGAAUGCACUCCUAAGAAGAAAUUGAAGGGUGCAAUCUUUUUGCUUCGUGACAAAGCUUAUCAGUGGUAGUUGUCAGUUGAGGAACGUACUCAACCAAAUCAUCUGAACUGGGACUAACUUAAGACUGCUUUCUAAGGAAAAUAUGUGGGUACAAUUUAUGUUGAUGCUCGUAGGCGUGACUUGAGCUUAUGAAUCUCAUGCAAGGUGAUAUGUCUGUGGCCGAGUAUGAGGCCGAGUUUCUAAGAUUGAGCUGCUACGCUCGAGCUAUGAUGGCAUCUGAGUAUGAGAAAUGUGUUUGUUUUAAGGACUGUUUAAGGGAUAGUCUAAGGGUUCUGAUUGCUCCGCUGAGGGAGCGUGAGUUUGUUGUUUUGGUAGAUAAGGCGAAGAUUGCUGAAGAGGUUGAGCACGUGGAGCACCUAAACAGGAAGCGAUAGAGAGGUAAGAACAAGAGGGAUUUGGUGCCCUCUAGUGCUGUUUAGAGGCCUAAAAAGUGGGCUAGACCUGAUUCGCUUGUUAGAUUGAGAGUUCGUGUUGCUCCUACUGGGAUUCAGCCUUGUGGUGAUUGUGAUAGGCCAUCCGAGCACGUGUUGGAAGAGAUUAGGGGCUUGUCUGCGGUGUGGGUCUUUGGAGCAUGGGAUUAGAGAAUGUCCACAUCGUGCUGAUCAGACGCAAGCUUUGGGACUGAGUUUUGAUCAACCUCAGAAGGCAGUACAACAACCACCUAGGGGCCAUAGACCGGCUAGGAGUGGUAAUGGUAUCGGCUGAUGACAGAAAGCACCGGGUAGAGGUGCUAAUCAGAUUGAAAUGAGGCAGCCUGUAUUGGUUUAUGCUGCUUGAUGCCGAGAGGAUAAUGACAUUCCUGAUGUGAUCACGGGUAUGUUUUUAAUUUUUGAUGCUCCAUAUACUGCUUUGAUAAACAUAGGUUCUACGUACUCCAAUGUAGCUAGUACUGUUUCUAGGAACUUGGGGAUUUUUGUUGAGUGCGCUUCUGGUGAUAUUAUUGUACUAAGUCCAUUGGGAUAGUCUAUUCGAGUAAAUAAACUUUAUAGGAAUGUUUCGUUAAAAGUAUAAGAGGCUGCGUUUUCAGAAAAUUUGAUAGAGCUACCAUUUGGGGAGUUCAACUUAAUUCUGGGUAUAGACUAGUUAGUUGAGCACCGAGUUAGGUUCAAUUGUGCGACUAAAAGGGUUGUUCCGAGGACCGGGGAUGAUAAGGAAGUGGUUGUGAUCGAUGAGCAUCGAGAUUACUUGUCUGAUGUGUUCUCCACUUUAGUGGCUGAGAAAUUGGUUUAGAAAGGGUAUGAGGCGUAUUUGGCCUAGUCAGUGUUUCAGUUCUAGGAACUCUUCUGUCAAGGAUAUUAAAACAAUGAAGGAAUUUUUAGAUGUUUUUCCUGAGGCAUUACCAAGUUUACCUCUAAAUUAGGAAGUUGAGUUCGGCAUUGAGCUUCCAUCAGGUACAGCUUCGGUGUCUAUCGCUCCAUACCGUAUGGCACCGAAGGAGCUUACAGAGUUUAAGGCUCAACUUCAAGAGCUUCUAGAUCGUGGUUUCAUCCAUCCUAGUAUGUCUUCGUGGGAGGUAUUGGUUCUGUUUGUAAAGAAAAAUGAUGGUACCAAGAGGAUGUGCAUCGACUACCGGCAGUUGAAUAAACUGGCUGUGAAGAAUAAGUACCCACUUUAGAGGAUUGACAACCUAUUUGAUCAGUUCCGUAAGGCUACGGUAUUCUAAAAAGUAGAGCUUCAUUCUAGGUAUCAUCAGCUUAGGGUUAAGAAAGCUAAUAUUCAUAAGGCAGCUUUUAGGACUCGUUAUGGGCACUACGAGUUUCUAGUUAUGCCCUUCGAUUUGACGAAUGCUCCGGCUACAUUCAUGGAUAUGAUGAACCGAGCUUUUCAGCCGUAUCUGGACCAGUUCUUCGUAAUCUUCAUUGACGAUAUUCUGGUGUACUCUAAGACUAAGGAUGAGCAUGGUGCGCAUCUUAGAGUAGUGCUUCAGAUGCUCCGAGAGAAACAACUCUACGCUAAGUUGAGCAAGUGUGAGUUUUGGUUGCGAGAGGUAACUUUUCUGGGACAUGUGGUUUCUGCUGAGGGGAUUCGAGUUGAUCCUUGAAAGAUUGAGCUUGUGCUUGAUUGGAAGCAGCCUAAGAAUGUUUCUGAUAUCCGUAGUUUUCUGGGUCUUUCGGGUUAUUAUUGGCUGUUUGUUGAAGGGUUUUCACUAAUUACGGCUCCUUUGACUAAGCUUCUGCUCAAGAGUGUUUCUUUCGUUUGAACUGAUAUGCAAAAAUCGAGCUUUGAAAAGCUCAAGUCCGUUUUGACUCAAGAUCCUAUUCUGAUAUAGCCUGAAUUUGGUAGGGAGAUUGUGGUGUACAGUGAUGCGUUGCACAUCGGUUUGGGAUGUGUACUGAUGCAAGAUGGUAAGGUUGUGGCUUAUGCGUCCUGUCAGCUUAAGUCAUAUGAGGGGAAUUAUCUGAUGCAUGAUCUCAAGUUAAUCGCGGUGGUGUUUGUGUUAAAAAUCUAGAGGCACUAUCUGUAUAGUGAGAGGUUUAUUAUCUACACCGAUCACAAGAUCCUCAAGUACCUCCUUACUCAGAAGGAGUUGAAUCUUAGGCAACGUUGAUGGAUUGAGUUGCUCAAAGAUUAUGACUGCACGAUAGAGUAUCAUCCUAGUAAGGCCAAUGUGGUGGUCGAUGCUCUUAGUCAAAGAACGAUGACUGAUUUGAGGGUUAUGUUCGCUCGUCUCAAUUUAUUUGAUGAUAGAGGUCUGUUAGCCGAGUUGCAAGUUAAGCCAACUUGGAUUGAUCAUAUUCGAGUUAAGCAGUUAGGGGAUGAUUCUAUGGUUCUGCGGUUUUGUUAGGUUGAGAGUCAUAGUACUUUUGAUUUUGGACUGAUUAAUGAUAGAGUUUCGUGUUUCUGAAGUCGGGUUUGUGUAUCGAGCAAUUGUGAUUUGAGGCAGUCAAUUUUGAGGGAAGCACAUAGUAGCCCUUAUGAUAUGCAUCCUGGUGGUAAUAAGAUGUAUCGGGAUCUUCGUGAGUUGUACUGGUGGCCGGGAUUGGAACGUGAGGUAACAGAUUUUGUUGGUUGUUGUCUGACAUGCCAGCAAGUUAAGGCUGAACACCAGUUGCCUUCAGGUUUGCUUCAACUUGUUAAGAUUCCCUUGUGGAAAUGAGAAUGAGUGACGAUGGACUUUGUUAGUGGAUUGCCCUUGACAUCCAUUAAGAAUGAUUCUAUUUGGGUCAUCGUGGAUCGAUUAACCAAGUCUGCCCAUUUUAUUCCGAUUUAGACGGACUACUCUCUGCAAAAGUUAGUGAAGCUCUACAUCUCUGAGAUUGUAAGACUGCAUAGGGUUCUGGUUUUGAUAAUUUCUGAUAGGGAUCUUUACUUUACUUCUCAGUUCUGGAGGAAACUGCAUGAGGCUUUAGGUUCAAGAUUGGACUUCAGUACCGCGUUUCAUCCUCAAACCGAUGGUCAAUCUGAGAGAGUGAUUCAGAUACUGGAGGAUAUGCUUCGGAGUUGUGUGAUUGAUUUCCAAGGUAGUUGGGAGGAUUUUCUGCCGUUAGCUGAGUUCGACUAAUGUAACAGUUUCCAGUCUAGCACCCAGAUGGCACCUUACAAGGCUUUGUAUGGUCGUAAGUGUCGUACUUCGCUAUGUUGGACUGAAUUGGGUGAGCAACGAAUUUUGGGUCCUGAGUUGGUUUUCGAGACUAAAGAUAAGGCUAGACGAAUUCAGGAUCGUCUGAAGGCGGCUUCUGAUAGACAGAAAUCCUAAGCGGAUCUGAAAAGAAGGGAUAUCCUCUAGUCACAAUCAAACCUUCUUUGAUUCUGAUCGGACCAUCUGUAUUUAACUGAACCCAAUUACUAGCAAGCUAAGGAUAUUAAAUUUUCGUGUUUAAUAGUUUUUAGAAAUUAUAUUUUGUAUUAAACUUUUGUCUGAAUUUCUUUCAAUAUCAAAUUACUCUUUAUAACGUAUGGUAUUUUAUGUCAUAUAUAUAUUUUUUAAAUUGUGUACAUGCAAUUUAGCCUGUAUAAUAUUAAUGGCAUUACUAGAUUUAAUUUUUUUUUAACUUUUGAAAUUUUUUUCUUUUACUAUUUUUAAAGAAUAACCAAAUAUUUAGAAUUCAAUCAAAUGAGAAUUUAGUUCAGUUGACAAAAAUAGAUAUCUUGAAUCUUGAGUACUUCAGUUUAAGACCUACUAUGCACAAAUAUUUACGUAAGGUUUUUUAAUUUUAAUUUAAUUAAUUUUAAUUUAGUUUUAAUCUCGAUUAUAUUAGAACGAUCGAUUUAUGAUUAUUUAUAUUUGUAAUUAUAUUGUACUUGUUACGCUAAAAAAAAUAAAAUUAUUUCACUUUUCCUUUUCUUUCAGAAUAUUUCAUAUUAAUUCCUAAUCGAUCCAGACAUCUGUUUUGUGGUUGCAUCCACUUUAAACUUCAUAAUUCCAAAAUAAGGUGAGCAAAUAAAAGGAUUUGCCUUCCAAUUAUAUAUUCUCACUAAAGGGAAUAUGCAAGUGCCUUCGUUCAUCAUCAUCAUGUGCAUGUGCUUGAUUUUCCCUUUUACCUGGCUAAUUGAAAUGUAUACAUGGGAGUGUGUAUAUAUACAUGCUAAUUGUCACCAUCUUUUAAAGCAUAUAUUCAGCUCCCUGAUAAAUUAUAGAGGAAUAUAUGUUUGUUAGCAUCCUUAUUUAUUAAAGUGAGAUGUUUAAUAAAUACGAGAUUUAUGAUACACUUACAUUUAUAAUAUAAAUGAAAAAUAAAGUUAUUUAACAAACAUAUUUAUUAAAAUUCAUAUAAUAAGCAAUUGAUAUUUUUUAUUAUAAAUGUAAAGUUAAUUGUUUACCAUGCUUGAAUUUAGAGUUGUCUAAGUGUUGAGUUACUCGUCUGAACUCGAGAGUUUGCUCGAAAUAUGAGAGGGUUUAAACAAGUAGACAAAGCUAAAAAAAUAGACUUAGGAAAAUAUAUAGACCCGUUUCCUAUUCGAGCUAGGCCUUGAAUAGAGUUUUUAAGCCCGAGCCUAACCCGACCUGAAUAUAUAUAAUUUCUAUAUUGAUUCUAUUCCUUUGCUGGGUAUGGAACAUUUGAAGGUGUGCAAUUUACUUACGGCAUGUUUGGUUGGGUGUAUUGGCUAUGCCAAUACACCCCUAAUCGGUGGGCCCCACUUAAGCUCCCUUUAUUCCGUUGUUUGGUUCAUGGUAAUGCUAUUACGGGUGUAAUCUAUUACUGCCCUAAUCGGUGAAAUCCAUCGAUUUGUAAUACAGCCCUUUUGCUCAGAUUAGGUGCUGCAUCCAAAUCCCUCCCUGUUUUACCCUCCCAAUUGGCUUCCCCAUUCCAUCGCCUCUUCCUUCGUUCUACCUUCGUUCUACCUUUGCCUCCCGAUUGGCUUCCCCAUUCCUUCGCCUCUUCCUCUGUCUCUCAACCUCUUCUUUUCUUUUUCUUUACAACCAGUCACUCUUUCGUUUUGCCUUCUCAACCAGUCGACCUUUUUCUUUUCUUUUUCUCUGUGUCACUCCUUCGAUUGCUCUCAAUUGAUGGGUUUCCAGGUUACUGCUACUGAAAGGUAAAGGUUUCUAACUCUCUUUUGCUCUCAAUUAUCCUGUAAUUGUUCUAACUCUCUUCUUCUCUCUGUACUGAGUUUUAAUGGCUGUCUUGUUAGUGUCUUCUUCAUUGCACUUUCAGGGCCUGAUCAUAUAAACUUCAUCGAAACACGGAAUCUUUUGUUUCUUCUUCUCUUUUGCUGGAGUUUUUGCUUUAAUUUUCGGUAAAAAUUUCUUACUAAUCUUUGAUUUUGGUUGUUUUCUCAUUGGUUGAUCUUUACGGCCCUCAUGGAAUCAAAGACCUGAAAGUUUAAAGGGAAUUUUCCUUACUUUCUUGAUAAAAUUCAAUUUAAAACAUUCCAAUAAUUUUUUCCACCUUGUGAUUGGUAAUUUUUCACUUCUUAAUUCUUUUUGAAUAAUUGAGUUAUCUACUUCGUUAUUAGAUGAUUAUUGUUAUGAUUAUUUGAAGAACAGUAACUUGUGUACAUGGAGUUUAUUUUGUUCUAAUUGCGUGACAGGUUUUCGAUGCUUAGUUGCAUGUUAAACAGAAAUCCAGAAUGAUCCUAUCAAUGCAAGAAAAGUCACAGUUUAUUCCAAUUUACAAUCAUUUUUUUCUUUUUCUAUGUGUGUUUUUAUCUUGUUAGGAUUAGACUUGCUCAUAUUCAUUUUCGUUCAGUAUGUUGUUUUUUCUAUUAGAUUUUCAUUUUUCUGGAUUGUUCUUUUAAAAAAUGAAUGAUUUUUCCUAGUAAUCUAAUUUAAUUUGUGUUUUUAUGUUAUGGGGGGCUAAAAUGAUUAGUAUUCUUCUCCAGCAAAGAGAAUGAAGCCAGAGGUUUCUUCGUUGAAUCCCUGUGCAGCAUCAUACAUACCACUUGCCAAAAGGGAGGGUUCCAUAGCUAAAGAUAUUAAGGCUGGAAAUGAGUCUGCUUGGUUUGAUCCUUCCUCACGUAGCAAUGCUUCACUUGAAUCUGCAAUCCCUGGCAUUGGAAACCACCUGGUUGCACUGAAAAGCGACCCUGGUCAUGGUUCUUUGAUGCAAAAUCAGGGUGAAAUGAGUGGCGAGCAGAUUAUGGAUGAGGAAUUCGACAUGGAUUUGGAGUAUCUUCGCAUGAUGUUCCCCGGUUUGUCCAAUGACUCUGUUCUGGAUGUCUACAUGGCUAAUAAUGGAGACUUAGAAGCCACUAUUGACAUGCUGAACCAACUUGAGGUAAAUUUUGCCUAUCUUUAUUUUAUAAUUUAUAUAACUUGAUUGUCUGAGUGGUCUUGCUGGAUUAGUUUUCUAUAUUAUUUUCAUCUCGAAUGUUUCCUAUAUUAUUAGCUCCUCUUACUGUUCCAUCCUGCAGAUUUCCAAGUGUCCCUCUAUGAAAGUGCUAGUAGUGAAGUAAUUGAAUUUAUGAAUAAUUUUCUGAUGUUAUGGGUAACAUAUUUCACUUGUUUUUAACUGUAUGACAUCAAAGAGUUAAGGAUGUUAGUCUGCAUUCAGGCCUAUUUCAGCAUAACCAUGGUUUUUCUUCAUUUGUUUUAAUCCUCCCUGUGCAAAUGAUAGAGAUUUUUCAACCUGUUUUUGUCUCCCACCUUUUGAACUUUCAUAUGAUUUUAUACAUUGAUUUAUGUCAAUGAUUUCCCCACAUAUUUUGUUCUUAUGGAUCGUAUACCUUCAGAUGCUUUUAUUGUUUUUAUUCACCUCACUUUCAGUUGAAUAUAUUAUAACUGAGGGUUGUGUAGUGUUAUCUUGUUCAUAUAAAUUUGUUUGGAAAUUUACCUAUUCUAUAAUGCCAUUAAUAAUGUAUGCUAAUUUGAAUAUUGGGGAUAGGAUGUUUUCCUCAUGCUGCUUGCUUCUUGUUUACUCAUUGUACGGCAAGUUCUUUCUUUGGUUUCAUUAGAAGUGAUUUCUGGAGUAUUUGUGAUUUUGAUUCUUGAAUUAGUUUAUGGUUGGGAUUAAAAAUGCACAUUUUUGCCCUUAUUUCAGUAUUCAUGUACAUUGGAUAGUUCUCUUUGUUAGAUGUACACUGUUGAGUCCUCUGACACUCUUCCCGACACAUUGGAUAUCGGUGAUAUCUCUGAAUUUAUCUCUUCAGCAAACUGUGGUACUCUUAAACUGAAGAAUGUGGCAGGUGAAACCGGCGCGUCUUCAUUAGGCUCUACAGAAUCAGCUGUUACCUCCUGAUUGACAUAAUCAAAGGGGUUUCAGUGUUUCUAGUUUUAGUUGUAUCUCUCAGUGGAUAAGAAGUGUACACAAGUAGGGUUCUUCUUCAAGGUUGAGAAAUGUAGUACUUUGCUUUUAACACUUGAAGGGUUUAACAUUGGAUGUGUAGUUGUAUGCUGUAACAUUUGUUUGGUCGCUCAACUUUUUCUACAUUUGUUUGGCGAUGGAAGAGUAUUUGUUUUGUUUAUGCCUUUGCUGGGGGUUCAUUUUCUCUAUAUAAUAUAAUAACUUAUAUUAGAAGUAAAAUUGUAUUUUGCUUUCUACUAAAAGAAUGGGCAAAUUAGUUCGUGUACGUAAGAUUAAAGAGCAAACUAAUCUUUUUGUUAAAAAUUUCAUCCAUUUUUAUAAUUAAAACCGGUCUUUAUAUGUCGGCAUGAGGUACACGUGGUACAUUACAUGUAAUUGUCUGAUUAUUUUUAUUGUUAACAAUUGAUCUUUUUACAUAGUUUGUGAUAUAUGCACAAAUGAGGUGAAAUUUAUUAAAUUUUAUUCACCGAAUCUAUCAAUUUUCAAAUUUGGAAAAUCAGUCGACUUGCAACGACUUUUUGGAUAGGAUCAAACAUUCUUGGAUUGAGAUAUUUUCAUAGUGUUUGGAGAUCUCUUAAUAUAAGAAUAUUAAUUAUUAAGAAUUUUAUUAAAUUAUAUAUUUUAAUUAUAAUAUAUUUAAUAAUAAUUAUGUUUAAAUAUGAUUAAAAUAUUUAUUAUUGAUAUUAAUAAUCUUAUUAAAAUUUAAAUAACAAUAACAAUAAUAAUUUACCAAAACAAAUUUCUGCUAAUUAUUAAGAAUUUUAUUAAAUUAUAUAUUUUAAUUAAAAUAUAUUUAAAAAUAAUUAUUUUUAAAUAUGAUUAAAUUAUUUAUUAUUGAUAAUAAUAAUCUUAUUAAAAUUUAAAUAAUAAUAACAAUAAUCAUUUACCAAAACAAAUUUAUGCUAAGGGUAUUCUAGUCAUUUUAGUUUUUUCCAUUAUGUUAUUACACCUCUAUUCCAUUCAACCAAACACAAGAUUACUAUUACGCCUCUAUUCCAUUACAUUCAACCAAACAGUUGAUUUGCUAUUACACCUCUAAUCCAAUACACCUCUAAUCCAAUACAGCUCUAAUCUAAUACACAUCUAAUCUAAUACAGCGAACCAAACGCACCCUUAGUGAUACUGAUGAUGUCUAAGUUGAUUGUAAUUACAUUUAUAAGAUCCCGAUAGCUCUGCAUAAAGGUUUGGAUAAGAUGAUUUGGCGUUGCUCUAAUAAUGGAUUAUAUUCAAUAAAAUCAGGAUGCAAGUUAGCCUCUGAUUUGUAUUCAAAUUUUGUUUCGAAUGAAGCCGGCGGUCCUCGAUUGAAGAUUUGGAAUGGCCAUUUCCAAUCGGAGGUGAACUAUUUUACUUGGAGGUGUCUCAGAAACUUUAUUCCUACCAAGGCAAUGUUAAUUGUUAAAGGAUUAAAUGUGCCUUCUAUUUGUGCUAAAUUUUAUAUAUAAACUUACGCCCUGUUUGAGAAUGUUAAUCAAUUAAAAAUUAAUAUUCAAUUAAUUGAAAAUUGAUAUGUAAUUUUAGUUGAAAUUUGAUGAAUUGUUUUUUUUAAAUGGAAUGGCAAUAUUUGCAUGAUAUUUUGAGUUCAAAUAUCUUUAUGAUUAAAUUUUUAUUGAUUUAUUAUAUGUAAAAAAGAUUAAAAAAAGAAAGAAAAGAACAUUAUCACAAAAAUAUAAUUUAAUUAGUAUAUAAGAGAAUAUUUUAAUAAUUUUAAAAUUGAAUUGAUAAUCCAUCACACUGGUAUAGAUUAACUAAGGAGUGUUUCAAAGUGUUGAACGCCUCAUGGUCUGGAAAACAUGGCCAUAAAAACAAUAUACUAAACACAUAAGUGUAAGACCCAAAUUUUGCCCAAGCCUAAAAUAUUUACAGUCCAAUUACAAAACCCAAUAUUUAACCUAAACUAUCAGCCCAAUUAAGACCUAAAACAAAGACCCAAAACCAAGCCCAACACGGCCCAAACUAACAAAAACCCUAAUGCCUCGAUAGGCCCAAAAUCUAAACAAAUUUCAGCCAAAAUAUGGAAGCAGAAACCCAAGUGCGCCGCUCCCUACGUGGUGUCAGCACCUUCUCCGCUGCAACGCUGCCACUGGCCUCCUCCACGCCUCUGACAGCACCUGCAAAACCAAAGCAACAAGCAAAACAACAGCAGAGACAACAGUGGCAACAGAGUAGAAGGAAAACGAAAUAGUAGAAUAUAUUGUAAUUUAUUCGACUAUAAAAGCCUCGAAAAAUCAGUGUAUCAAGGGGGAUUUUUGGGGAACAAAAAAGAAAAUCGAAUAAAAGAGAAGAAAUUUGAAACAAAAUACCAAAGGUGAUUCCUCUUUUUAUUUUUUAUCUUACUUUCAAAAAAAAAACAAUAAACAAAAGCACGGUCUUUUUACCUGAGUCGACAAACCUUCCACAGUGGUCGAAAGUCCUCUCCGGCGUUCGAAACCUAGAACCCAUAGUGGUUCGGCGUGAUGAUUUUGAGAGACGUUGUAACGCCUCAAUUUUUAGGCCUGGAAGUAUUGGGCCUUCAGUCUAGGUUUGGGUAGAAGACGGCCCGAAUAAUUUGGAUGUUAUUAUUAUUAUUAUUUCGUAUGUUUAGUUUAGUAAUUAAAUAAAUUAUGAAGGGUUUAUGGUGUGGGAAAAGGUCCAGGGCUCGGCCCAUAGCUUUAGCAAAAUUAUUAAAUUUUGCCUCUUAAGGGAAUCUGGGCAAUAGGCCUUAUUAAUAAUUUGGGCAAGGAACUUGGUGUUGGCCGAAUAUUGGACUCUUGAGGGGCAAGAGUUGGCCGACCAAGGGUCUUUAGUAUAGGCAAUUCGGCUAGGUCUAUGUGCUUUUUAAUUUUUCCCUUGACGAAUAUUAUUUCCCUUCUCCCCUCUCUUUUAUUCAUAUUUUCUUUUCUUUUUCCCUCAUAGCCGAACCCAUACCCCUUUCUUUCUUCAUUAUUUCUUAAAAGUCAAAUCUUAUUAUAGCCGAACCUCUAUUCUUUUCUUCCUUAAAAAGCCAAAACCUUCAUACCUAUGGUUUAGGAAGCCGGAUCUUUGGCUACUUGAACCUGUUUCUUCUAACUACGGUAGAUCGGGAUUAAUAUCAUAGAUAUGAGCACUUUUCUGGGCCAAACAAUGAUUGGUAAGUUUGUCGAAUAAUUUUUGUUAAUUAUUUAUGAUUUAAUAUAAAAGCGGAAACCCCUUAAGGGUGGCUAAUGUUUGGACUAAGGGCGUUAGUGCCUCUUUUUUUCCAUUGUAUAAGCAUUAGCGUGGACAAAGGGGCGUGCAGUAAAGGGUUUGAAGACUGAUUCGGACUGGAUAUCUAGAUCUAAUCCAUAUUUCGGCAAAAAGGUAAGAACUCUAGGGUUAAGGGAUGUUGGCCGAAUUUGGUAAGGGGGAAUAGUACGUAGUUUGUUUUCGGUAUGUAGACUGACAUUUAGUAACUCGAUUGUAGGAAACCCCUGAGUGGAUCUCGCCAGCAUACCGUUACAAAUCAGGUGUGUAAACGACACCCACUCAUAGACUAGAUCGGCAAAAGCCGAAAAGUUGAAAUGCCGAAAAGUCGGCAUUUUGUGAACUUGCGAGCGUGCGAGUGCUCGUGAGGUGGUUAGUUUGUUAAAUUUUGGUAAUCACAAGCGGUAUGAUUGUAGAGUGCGCAAUUUCAUGCACUUCAGUAUAUUUGGGCUUAAUGGGCCGAAAACGGGUUAGUGGGCCAACGGGCCUAAUUCGGUAAAAACGCUCGGUAGGUGUUUUUGUUAAUGCGUUAAUAACUAUAAUGAGCAUGAAACCCUAAAAAUAUUGAUAAAAUUACUGAAAUACCUCUGUAAGAUAGAAUUACCGUAAUACCCCUAAAGGGGUAAGUUUACGAUUACGCCCCUCGAGGGUAAAUAACUAUUCUUACGCUAUAAUCUGACUGUCUUUCUGAAGCAUGCCUUGUUAAUUAUAUAUAUAUAUUCUACAUACAUGUCAUACUGCAUGGGGUUGGGUUUUGUUAUGGAGGAAGAACCCGUUCUGGUAGCUGUGCCACAUAUUCUGAUAUAAGCAACUUGGCUGCGGAUUAUAGUUAGUGCCGCAACUGGUGCUAACACUGUAAGUGUAAGGAUGGCGUGGGUGAUUUAUUCCCCACAGGAAGUGUAGGGAUGGACGGAGGCAAGUGCAGGGUUGGAUGGGGUUAUCAUGUGUUAAUCAUAUGAGACUGUUUUAUUAUGGGCCAACUGUAUUGAAAUGGGCCCAACUGUGUUGAUAUGGGCAAGGCCCAAUAUAUCUCGACUUGUAAUAGGGCUAUCGCCCAGAUUAAUACUAAUAUGGGCUAGACCCAGUAUACUUUGAUAUUGUAAAGGGCUAUGGCCAGAUUAAUAUUGAUAUGGCCUAAGGCCCAGUUAGCCCUGAUUUUUGAAUAGAGGUUAGGCCUAGUAAAGCUUGAACUGAUUUGGGCUCUGGUUGGGAUACUUUACACACUGAGUUUUCUAAACUCACCCCAUUUUUUCCUAUCUUUGCAGGUGAGCCUUAGAUCGGUGGACUUGGAGCUGGAGGGAUUCAGAGUGGCCAUGUGGACUGUUUAAAAUAAGUGUUUAUACCUUCACUUUUAUUUUAGAUUAUUUCCUUUAUGUUUUCGGGUUUUUAAUUUGUAAUAAGGCUGCUUUAAUUAUUUUUUAAUUGUUUUUAGUAUGUUUUGUUAGCUUAGAUAUGAUAUUGUUUUAAUUGUUUGAAAUUGAAUAGCUCUAGGGCGUGUUUUCAAAAGAAAUUACCUGAUUUCAAAAUAUCGCGAAACAAGACAAAGCUUCCGCAACGAAAACGUUUUCAAAAUUUAAUAAGUGAUUUCAAAUGGAUAAAAACGAAAUGGUUUCUUCUAAACAAUCGCUCAGUUAAAGUGUGGCAAUGGUUGUGUGCAUGUCUAGGAGUGGAUCCGUGGAGAGCUUGGUACUUAAGCAGUCUAAUAGACUCACCUCCUCUUUUCUAGUAUCCUACCUGGUGCACAGCUCCCAUUCACUUUAAUUUAAAACGAAAAUAUUCUUUGAACACUAAGAAAAAAAUUUAGAUAAGACAUGAGUUUUCAGUUACGCUUUAAUGUGACACGUUGGAUUCGACCGUAAUAUAUGAGCCGGGUUUGGGGUGUUACAUUUAGUGGUAUUAGAGCCCAGUUGCAACAACUCGGCUGUGGAUCGGGUCCGAACGUUUUUCAUAAAAUUUUGAAAUCUAGUUCCAUGGAAAAACACUGAAAUCGAUUUUGUGGAAAUGUUAGAAAAUUAUUUUAAAUUUUGUUUUCAAAGUGCACAAAGAAUAAAUUUGAAUUUUACUAAGUGCACAAAGAAGUGGCACACUGAAUCCCCGGCACCAAGUCUGUAAGUACCUUUUCUGAACUUUACUAAGUAUUUGUUAUAUUACUGAGACUCUGCUAUGACAUUAUAGUUAGAGCUAGAGUGCACAGUAGAAGCAUAGUGGUUUGGCUUGAGUAAUACGGUUAGUUGAUAGUUUGAAAUUUCGAGGACGAAAUUUCUUUAAGGGGAGUAGAGUUGUAACGCCCCGAUUUUUGGGCCUGAAAGUAUUGGGCCUUGAGUCUGGGUCUGGGUAGAAGACGACCCGAAUAAUUUGGAUGUUAUUAUUAUUAUUAUUAUUUAUUAUUUCGUAUGUUUAGUUUAGUAAUUAAAUAAAUUACGAAGGGUUUAUGGUGUGGGAAAAGGUCCAGGGCUCGGCCCAUAGCUUUAGCAAAAUUCUUAAAUUUUGCCUCUUAAGGGAAUUUGGACAAUGGCCUUGUUAAUAAUUUGGGCUGAGUUUUAGCAUAAGCAGGCACCUGGCCCAGUGGCUAAGGACGCUAGGAGGGCGUGGGAGGUGCUUGGGUUCAAGGCACAGCGCGCGCAAAUUGGGUGUUUUAUUUUAAUAUGCAGAUGGCGGUUGAAAUAAGGGUUAAGAGGAAAUGCCAGCAUAAUUCAACACAAGGAGCGCCUGUGGCGCAGUGGCAGCAGCGUGCUGGGCACACAGAGAGGGGGCGGGUUCGAGUCCUUGCGCGGGUGAACUCCGUUUUAUUUUUGAAACGGGCCAGAACUGAAGAAGGUAAGGUUAUAAAAUAAUUGAGAGAGGAUUAUGUUAUGGAAGGAACCUCGGUGCAGUGGCAAGCAGUGUAUGUGUGUGUUUAGCAGGUCCUGGGUUCGAGAGGAACAGUAGGCAAAAUUUCUUUUUUAUUUCACAAGUAACCGGAGCUUCAGCAGGUAAGGUUUUAUAAAUAAUUGUAACCAUAUACUAGUAAAGAAUGAAGUGUGGUGCAGUGGCCAGCAGCACUGGCGUAAGUGUAAGGGUAGACGGAGGUUUGGGGUUCAAGUCUCACUUUGUUUUUAUUCAUAUUUUCUUUUCUUUUUCUUUUUCCCUCAUAGCUGAACCCAUACCCCUUUCUUUCUGUCUCUUCCCUUAUUUUACUUUCUUCAUUAUUUCUUAAAAGCCGAAUCUUAUUAUAGUCGAACCUCUAUUCGUUUCUUCCUUAAAAAGCUGAAACCUUCAUACCUGUGGUUUAGAAAGCCGAAUCUUUGGCUACUUGAACCUGUUUCUUCUAACUACAGUAGAUCGGGAUUAAUAUAAUAGAUAUGAGCAAUUUUCUGGGCUGAACAAUGAUUGGUAAGUUUAUCGAAUAAUUUCUGUUAAUUAUUUAUGAUUUAAGAUAAAAGACAGAACCCCUUAAGGGAGGCUAACGUUUGGACUAAGGGCGUUGGUGCCUCUUUCUUUUCCAUUGUAUAAUCAUUAGCGUGGACAAGGGGAUGUGCAGUGAAGGGUUUGAAGACUUCUUCGGAUUGGAUCUCUAGAUCUAAUCCAUAUUUCGGCAAAAAGGUAAGAACUCUAGGGUUAAGGGAUGUUGGCCGAAUUUGGUAAGGGGGAAUAGUACUUAGUUUGUUUUCAGUAUGUAGACUGAUGUUUAGUAACUCAAUUGUAGGCAACUCGUGAGUGGAUCUAUCCAGCGUACCAUUACAAAUCAGGUUUGUAAACGACACCCACUCAUAGACUAGAUUGGCAAAAGUCGAAAAGCUGAAAUGUUGAAAAGCCGUCAUUUUGUGAACUUGCGAGCGUGCGAUCGCUCGUGAGGUGGUUUGUUUGUUAAAUUUUGGUAAUCACAAGUGGUAUGAUUGCAGAGUGCGCAAUUUCGUGCACUUCGGCAUAUUUGGGCUUAAUGGGCCGAAAACGGGUUAGUGGGCCAACGGGCCCAAUUCGGUAAAAACACUAGGUAGGUGUUUUUGUUAAUGUGUUAAUAACUGUAAUGAGCAUGAAACCCUAAAAAUACUGAUAAAAUUACUGAAAUACAUCUGUAAGGUAGAAUUACCGUAAUACCCCUAAAGGGGUAAGUUUACGAUUACGCCCCUUGAGGGUAAAUAACUGUUCUUACGCUAUAAUCUGACUAUCUUUCUGAAGCAUGUCUUGUUAAUUAUAUAUAUAUAUAUUCUGCAUACAUGUCAUACUGCAUGGGGUUGAGUUUUGUUAUUGAGGAAGAACCCGUUCUAGUGGCUGUGCCACAUAUUCUGAUAUAAGCAGCUUUGCUGCAGAUUAUAGUUAGUGCCGCAACAGUUGCUAACACUGUAAGUGUAAGGAUGGCGUGGGUGAUUUAUUCUCCACAGGAAGUGUAGGGAUGGACGGAAGCAAGUGCAGGGUUGGAUGGGGUUAUCAUGUGUUAAUCAUAUGAGACUGUUUUGUUAUGGGCCAACUGUAUUGAAAUGGGCCCAACUGUAUUGAUAUGGGCAAGGCCCAAUAUAUCUCGACUUGUAAUAGGGCUACGGCCCAGAUUAAUACUGAUAUGGGCUAGACCCAGUAUACUUUGAUACUGUAAGGGGCUAUGGCCAGAUUAAUAUUGAUAUGGUCUAAGGCCCAGUUAGCCCUGAUUUCUGAAUAGGGGUUAGGCCUAGUAAAGCUUGAACUGAUUUGGGCUCUCGUUGGGAUACUUUACACACUGAGUUUUCUAAACUCACCCCAUUUUUUUCCCAUCUUUGCAGGUGUGCCUUAGAUCGGUGGACUUGGAGCUGGAGGGAUUCAGAGUGGCCAUGUGGAUUGUUUAAAAUAAGUGUUUAUACCUUCACUUUUAUUUUAGAUUAUUUCCUUUAUGUUUUCGGGUUUUUAAUUUGUAAUAAGACCGCUUUAAUUAUUUUUUAAUUGUUUUUAGUAUGUUUUGUUAGCUUAGAUAUGAUAUUGUUUUAAUUGUUUGAAAUUGAAUAGCUCUAGGGCGCGUUUUCAAAAGAAAUUACCUGAUUUCAAAAUAUCGCGAAACAAGACAAAGCUUCCGCAACGAAAACAUUUUCAAAAUUUAAUAAGUGAUUUCAAAUGGAUAAAAACGAAACGGUUUCUUCUAAAUAAUCGCUCAAUUAAAGUGUGGCAUGGUUGUGUUCAUGUCUAGGAGUGGAUCCGUGGAGAGCUUGGUACUUAAGCAGUCUAAUAGACUCACCUCCUCUUUUCUAGCAUCCUACCUGGUGCACAGCUCCCAUUCACUUUAAUUUAAAACGAAAAUAUUCUUUGAACACUAAGAAAAAAAUUUAGAUAAGACAUGAGUUUUCAGUUACGCUUCAAUGUGACAUGCUGGAUUCGACCGUAACGUCUGGGUCGGGUUUGGGGUGUUACAGAAGUUAAAAAAGUUUUUGGUUAUUUUUUUUAUUUUGGAAGUAGAGGGUUCAAAACGGAGAAAAAAUGGCUCUUUUCGUGUACUCCGACCAUUGUGGACGGCGGCCGCCACGGUGGUCCGGUGAUCGGACCUUGGCCGGAUGCUGGAAGAGGGGAUAGAGUUUGAGAGGUUUUUCCUUUGUUUUUUUUGAGAGGUGUUGAAAAGAGCAAAAAAAAAGAGUGUAAAUUUUGGUUUAAAUACUAGUACUAAAACGAUACUGUUUUGGGCUUUAUGCCCCAGAUGCAAAACGACGCCGUUUCAUCCCUACCCGCGUGUUGACCCGACCCGUCUAGGGGCAUCCACGUGUUUUGACCGAAUGGGCUUGUUGCACUUUUGGCCCUUCCGCUUUUUUAUCAAUUUGCAAUCAAGCUUCCUUUUAUUUGUAAUUCGUGCCCUAUAAUUUAUUUCAAUCAUCAAUUUAGUCCCACACAAAGUGACACGUUUUGGAGGGCAGGAAUAUUUAUUCCUCUAGUCCCUCCAUUUCAUUCGCGCACUGCAAUAUGGUCCUUUCCCUUUUAUUCCUCUCAGAUUUGCCCCGAAUUUUUGUUUUAAGUUCAAAUUGGUCCCUUUUUGUUAUUUUUGCUAUUUUAUUAACUGUUUAAUAUUAUUGUUACUAUAAUCAUAUUUUAUUUUUGUGCUUAUUUAUUUGCUACUAUCAUUAUAUUAUUAUAUUAGUAACUUUGUAUUAUUAUCAUUAUUAUAAUCAUAUUUUCUUUUUGUGUUUCUUUACUUAUUAUUACAUUAUUAAUUGAUCUAUUAUUACUAUUAUUAUUAUUUUCACUAUUACUAUUAUUUUCUAACAUUAUUAUUACUAUUACUAUUAUUUAUUUAUUUAUUUAUUUAUAUCAUUGUUGUUAUUAUUAUUAUUCCUGAUUUUAUUAUUAUUGGUGUAUUAUUAUUAUUAUUCUUCAUUUUAUUAUUAUUUUCUAUUUUAUCAUUUAUUAUUAUUAUUUAUUAUCAAUAUUAUUAUUAUCAUUGCUAUUUUUAUUUUCAUUACUAUCAUUAUUAUUAUUUACUAUUAUUUAUUAUCAUUAUUAUCACCAUUUCCUACUAUUAUUAUUAUUAUUAUCAUCAUUAUUAUUUAUUUGUUUACAUAUGUUUUAUUACAAAUUGUGUCUUUAACUUCAUUUAUCUUUUGAUUCUUUACUUUCAAUAUUUCUUUGUCUUUAUUAUAUUUCAAAACUGGUAUCGUCAUUUCAUGUGCGUGAUUUAUCAUUAGUGUUCUUGUCGUCAUCAUUGUUAUUAUUAUUUAUUUUGUUUUCCUUUGAUGGUUAAUACUGGAAUUAAAGUGAUAUGCAUUAUGGAUUGCUUAUUAGUAUAUUUACAUUAUUGCCACUUAUUUGUGUAACAUUCGAUUCUUAUGCCAUUUUUAUAUUACGCUAAUUCUUACUCAAAUACACAAAAAUAAAAUUUUUAAAAUAAGGCAAUAUUCUGUGUUUGGAGAUUUGAAAGAUCGUGCCCUAACUUAUUGGGUUUCGAUUUUUCUUUGUUCGACCUAAAUGACCGAAUAACCUUUUGAAAUUAAAACGCAUGAAUUUUGAAAAUCAAAAAGCAAGCUUAUUCUCGAGGUUUUAAAAUGCUGUGUCCUAAUUUAUUGGAUGUGACAUUUUAUUACUUCGGGACAAGAAGGUCUUUAACAUCCGUUUCGAUUGAUGCAAGCAAAUUCUUUGUAAAAAAAUCAACAUUAAAAAGAAAGGAUCGUAUUUUUAAUUCUUUUCGAGUUUUUAAAUUUUUACAUUAAGACAUUAAUUAAUCAAUUUGGUACCAAUUUUGGGCGUGACAAGGGUUCUAAUCAUUCCUUGCACGUAACCGACUCCCGAACCCGUUUUCUCAAAUUUCGUAGACAAAAAUUGUUGUUUUAGCAAAUCGAAAUAUUUUAUUAAAAUAACCAAAUUUCUAAGUGAUCUGAUCACACCUAAAUAAAAAGAUUGAUAGCGACUUCCAAUUUUUGUUUUCUUUUCAAAAUAUAAAAUUGAUCCGUUUUAAAAAAAUAGUUUCGAGAGUAAGAAUGUUAGAUCCAAUCGGUUAAAGUAUCCUAUCCCAUUGAAUUUCUAAUUUCCAGCCAAUUGGGUGACUCAUUCUGUCUCGAUUAUGGAUUGAAUAUACACGGAUCCCACAACCCUUUAAAUGACGAGAGUUUCCCACUGCCACAGUUUAGAAAUUCUAUUUUAAAGAGAAGUGACAUUUACCUCAUUUACUCUUAUCGGUUUGUCAUGUUUUGAAUUUGAUCUAUUGCAAAAACUUUCUGAUCUCAUGAUGAGUUUUAUUCACUAUGACACCUUCGUUGACAACAUCCAUCAUAUUUCUUUCCAUGGGUAGGAGUCAUUCAUAAAAAUAUUGGAUGAAUAAUUGUUCCAAAAUUCUAUGUUGUGAGCAACUACCACAUAAUUGCUUAAAUCUCCUAAUACUCGUGAAGAGUCUCCAUACCGUUUUGCUUGAUGCCGUAACUUUUUCCUAGUAGAAAUAGCACAUGACGUAAAAAAAAAUCCGAAAAUAAUCUUAUCAUGUCAAUCCAUGUAGUAAUAGAUCCAGGAGGUAGAUAAUAUAGCCAAUCCUUCACCUUGUUGGCUAGUGAAAAGGUGAAGUCUCUUAGUUUGGUUUGUUCUUUGAUCACUCAUUGUCGUCUCAUAAUAGAACACACUACACCACAUGAAAAUCAUUCAAGUGCUUACGAGGAUCUUUGUUUUUUUGACCACAAAAACUGUUAGUACAAAUAUCCGGUGAGAAAAAUCUCGAACACACGAACAGAACUCGAAAGAAGAAGAAAUAGGACAAGGCUCCAAGGCGUGUAUCAAACCACUUUCUCUAAGAUUAUAUUCGCCCCCACCUAUCUUUGGUGUACAAAUGAGUUCCAAGCAAAUUAACCUUGAUGAUACAAUGAAGCCAAUGACUAUUAGCGUUUUGUACUGACGAGAAUAGCCCACUACACACUGAGCAAUGUAUGACAAGAAACUCAAUUUCUAUAAAGGAUUUUUGCAGUAAUACUUUAUAGAAUAAUCUAAUGAUAUUAGAAAAUGAAGAAAGGAAAGAAAGAAUAUUAGAAUUUGUUGGUAUGAUUUCCAAAUGAAAUCUCAUUCUAUUUAUAGGAAUUUUCAUGUCUCUUCAUAAAGACAUCUUUCAUCAAUAGGUGUCUUUCUGAAUAAUAAUGUCUUUAAAAUAAACACAUAAUUAUUCAAUUAAUUAUAACUAUUCAAAUAAUAUUAUUUAAAUAGUUAUAAUUCUUUUUCAAAAAAUCAAAUAAUAUAAUCUUUUGAUUAAUUACACCCAUUCAUUUAUAGUUGUAAAUAUUUGAAAAUGUUCCAACAAAAAGUAGGCAAUAAAUGAUUUAGUCCAGAUUUUAAUUCAAAAGAUACUUCUAAUCCUAGAUAUUCAAUGCACAACAGUUGUUGCUUCAGAUUUAUUUAAGAGAGAAAUUGGUUAUUCUCCUUUUGAUUCGGUAGAUGAAUCGACUGAAUUGUUCUAUGUAUCUAGUUGGGUAAUGAAGAUGGUUGGUUAGUUCUUGCUCGAACUCUCUUCCUUAGUCUUCGAGCAGUUCUCUCAAACUCAGGAUUGUACAAGAGUUCACCUGCACGAGAAGAUUAAAAUUUUAAUUUUAAUAAAUAUAUUUAAUACUGAGAAAAAAAGAAGAUCAAAACAUAAAAAUGAACAAAAAUUAAAUUAAAUUAAAAACAAGAAAGAGAUAAAAUUAUUAACAUUAAUAUAUGAUAAAAAGGUUAAAAUCUGUACAAUUGUUGAGACCUAUAAAAAUAAAAUCCUACUAAAAAAUAUAAAUUUAGUACAUAACAUUGAGUAGAGUCGUAUUCAUAGAUAUUGAUAAUAACUUUAUUUUUAAAACAAAAACAAGGAAAGUAAAUAUGAUGGAGAUUUUAGAAAAUAAAAAGCUAAAUUUAAAUUUAAAUCUUAACCAAGAAGGCAAUAAUAAAAAUUAUCAAUGAGAUGGAGCUCUAGCCAAUUGUAAAAUAUCUGUUUGAUUCACAAGUUUAAUCAUUGAUGGAAAGAUAAUUCCAUUGUUCUUUAAUAGAUUAGUUCAAAGUUGCCAAUGUCGUACCUAGCAAUCAGUCUCUCCUUAAUUUAUCGAUAACCAAGAGAAAGCUGUUGAAAUUAAUCUUCUUAUCAAUGAACAACCCUAUAACCUCACGUUUAGAAUUUAACUUACCGAUAGAGUUAUAAACGAGAGAGACCUAAUUUUAACCAAAAAAACACACAAGUAGGAUUUAUUUAAAUUAGAUUGCAUUCCCACACAACAUUGAUUGCAUACACAGUUACAGUAUUUAAAUUAGCUCCAUUGGCCAUGGAUUCUACAAGUUGUGUUGACAUUGAUGAUUUUUUUUAUGCUAUUGGUGAUGUCUGUAUUGUCAAAGCGUCAGGUAGAAUGUAUAACAGAUGGCUUGACCAUUGCUGACUUUUACCAAUCCAGCAUGUUUUAAAACUUGGUGGUAGUUGCUGCUACUGGUUAUGUAUUGAGUUGCUGGGAUGCUAGUUAUGUUUUAUUCUGCUGUUGGAAACAUGGUUUGUUGUUGGGGAUUUUUUUGUUGUCAGAUUUACUAUGUUAUGGUUCCUGGUUUAUUGUUUGAUGACUUGAUGGAUGGACGCAGAAGUUGGAGAAAACAUAAGAGUAUAAAUUGAGUCAAAAGAUAAAAUAGUAAAGGCCAUUCUGUUUUAUUUUUCCAUAAUAUUAUACAAACAGUCAACCAUGUAUAUACACAUGGCACUGACAUGAUUGUGAAGGCCUACACACUUUCUAAUGGUUGUACUGGCUAUCAAAAUUUAUUACCAUAACAGUAGUACGGGUAAUGAAGCAGCAGGCAGCUCGUUAUUAUUUAAUUUUGAUAGCCUUAACUACCAGCAUAGCUUGAUGAAGAAGCAAAGGCAGUUAUGCCUCUAACUCAAAUGAUGCCUUCAUUGUGGGUGAACGGCUCACGGGAUCAAUUUCAAUAGAUGCAAUGUACCCAAACUUUGUAACUUUAAAUUUUGGUUUUCCU